rnacentral:lncRNA from 1 species
UCCAGGCCGCUUCAUCCCACAAUACCGCCGGAAAAGAAUAAGACUAGUAGCGACAAGCAAUUGACAAAUCAGCGCCCACAACCUAUUGUGUUCUACUCGUGCAUAGAAUCUACGCAUAGAAAACCUGGCUCGGAUGCCACUGACGGGUAACGUAGCAUAAAUUCAAAAAUUUCCUACGCCAUAUUCAGAUCUUCCUAUGGAGAGACCAUCAAAGAGAGAGGGGUGAGUGCAUCUUCAUACCUUUGAAGAUCGCUAAGCGGAAGCAUUGCUAGAACGCUGUUGAUGGAGUCGUACUCGCAGCGAUUCAGAUCGUGGUGUGAUUCCGAUCUAGUGCCGAACCACGGCACCUCCGCGUUCAACACACGUGCAGCCCGGUGACGUCUCCCGCACCUUGAUCCAGCAAGGAGGAGGGAGAGGUUGGGGAAGAUCUCCGGCAGCACGACGGUGUGGUGUCGAUGGAGACACGAGGUCUCCCAGCAGGGCUUCACCAAGCACCGUGGGAGAGGAGGAAGAAGAAGAGCAGGGCUGCACCGAGAGAGAGAGAUGGAAAACCGUAUCUCCAAAGGCCAAAACCCCCACUAUAUAUAGGGGAAAGGGAGGGUUGGCGCCCCCUUUUGGGUUUCCCCCUUGAGGGGGGCGGCAGCCUUAGAUUGGAGAGGGGGGGCGGCAGCCACGAAGGAGAGGGGGUGCCGCACCCCUAGGUGGGCCUUAGGCCCACCAGCGCCUAGGGUUUCCCCUCCCUCCCUCUCUCGUGUGCCUGGGCUGAGUGUGGGGGGCGCACCAGCCCACCUAGGGGCUGGUUCUGUCCCGCACUUGGCCCAUGUAGCCAUCCGAGGCUUGUGGCCCCUCCCGGUGGGCCUCCGGAACCCUUCUGGUGGUCCCGGCACUUUGUCGGUGGUGCCCAAAACAUUUCCGGCGUCCAAACCCAUCCAUCCUAUAUAUCAAUCUUUACCUCCGGAGCUCCUCGUGACGUCCGGGAUCUCAUCCGAGACUCCAAACAUCCUUCGAUAACUUUGUAUAACAAUUCCCUAUAACCCUAGCGUCAUCGAACCUUAAGUGUGUAGACCCUACGGAUUCGGGAGGCAUGCAGACAUGACCGAGACAUUCUCCAUCCAAUAACCAUCAGCGGGAUCUGGAUACCCAUGGUGGCUCCCACAUGUUCCACGAUGAUCUCAUCGGAUGAACCACGAUGUCAAGGAUUCAAUCAAUCUCGUAUACAAUUCCCUUUGUGUGUCGGUAUAGAACUUGCUCGAGAUUCGAUCGUUGGUAUACCUAUACCUUGUUCAAUCUCGUUACCGGUAAGUCUCUUUACUCAUUCCGUAGCACAUCAUCCUGUGACUAACUACUUAGUCACACUGAGCUCAUUAUGAUGAUGUUCUACCGAGUGGGCCCAGAGAUACCUCUCUGUCACACAAAGUGACAAAUCCCGAUCUUGAUUCGUGCCAACCCAACAGACACUUUUGGAGAUACCUGUAGUGCACCUUUAUAGUCACCCAGUUACGUUGUGACGUUUGAUACACCCAAAGCACUCCUACGGUAUCCGGGAGUUGCACAAUCUCACGGUCGAAGGAAAAGACACUUGACAUUAGCAAAGCGUUAGCAUACGAACAAUAACAUCUAGUGCUAUGCUUCGGAUUGGGUCUUGUCCAUCACAUCAUUCUCCCAAUGAUGUGAUCCCGUCAUCAAUGACAUCUAAUGUCCAUGAUCAGGAAACCAUGAUCAUCUAUUGAUUAACGAGCCAAGCAACUAGAGGCUUGCUAGGGACACAUUGUGAUCUAUUUAUUCAAACAUGUAUUAUUGUUUCCUGUUAAUACAAUUAUAGCAUGAACAAUAGAGGAUUAUCAUAUUUUAUUAUUUCCUCUAGGGCAUAUUUCCAAUAGGCUCAUCAUUGGAAUAUGCAAGCCAAGUUCUAUAGUGUAAGGGCCCCCCCAUAGUUAUGCAUGAAUGAUAAUAGCAAUGGAGUACGAGUGUCGAUCUUUCAAAAGGAAUAGUAGCAUUGCCCCCUUCUCUCUUUUUCUCUCAUAUUUUUUUAUUGUUUUUUUGGNUUUGUGGCCUCUUUGCCUCUUUAUUUUUAUCUCUCAUUUGUCCUCUUUGGCAUCUUUUCAUUUGUCCUCUUUGGGAUCUUUUCAUUUGUCCUCUUUGAGAUAUUUUCCUCACUUAAGGGCAACACUCUAUGUUUUACAAGGAUAAAAAGAAGAUCAUCACACUUUAUAAGAAGUACUCAACAUAAAGACAAAUGAAAACUAUCACGAUGUAUGCAAAUGUAUGCCUCUGCCAGUGUAGCAGGAUAUGCAAUCAAACUAGCGCGUCAUGUAGCAAUAAUAAGGGCAAGGCCCAACUAGCAUGCGGCUCCUCGAUUAAGCAAAAGCAUGUAUGACAUGAAGAUCAAGUCAUGAGAUGGUGGGUGUUGCAUGGCAAUGUAUCUCAGAAAGGCUAUGGAAAUGCCUUAAUAGGUAGGUAUGGUGGCUGUUUUGAGGAAAGAUAUAAUGAGGCUUAUGCUGACAGAGCGUAUCAUGCCAAGGUUUGGUUGCACCGGUGAAAUUUGCACCAAAUCUCAAGAUGAGAAAGGGCAAUGCACGGUACCGAAGAGGCUAGCAAAAUAUGGAUGGUGGAAGUGCCAACAAUUGGAUACUCACAUUAGUCCGAAGAACUCAUACACUUAUUAUCGGUAACUCUCUAUAUAGUUAGGAGAUUCACAAAGAGACAAGUACCCCGAGGAGGAGUGUUUGGGGGUUUGGUUAUCCUUGCGCAUCCUCGACCCAUGGUAACGUGGGGGUACUCUAUAUAUUCCAACCCCUCCAGAGGUUAGCGAUCAAUCUAGUAGCUAGAGUUCUCAACUAAUUUUUAGUUUUUAAAAAACACACGGAUUUCCCAAAAUACACUUCGGGCUGCACUAUAAAGCCUUGCCUCAGCCCCCAGAGAGAGGGAGGCUAAUGAGAUUCACGCACGAGACACACUAGAGAAACACCCACUCACCACCGAGGUAGAGAGGCCGGCAGCUAGAGCUCCGUCUCCCUCAUGACGAACAGCUCAAGGAGCACCAUUUGUACUGUGAUUCCCGUAUAGUCACACAGGCAGGACUAGGGGUUUUACCUCACCGGAGGGCCUUGAACCUGGGUAUAUCGGCGUCAUGUGUAUUGUGCCUACACCCGUUCCCAAACGCCGCCGGCUCCCGUCGGCCCCAAACCACGAUCUAAGCCGCCACCUCGCAUCUGCCGCGGAAAUACCAUGAUACGUCCAUUUUACAUCAUGCUUUUAUGUUGAUAUUUAUCGCUUUAUGGGCUGUUAUUACACUUCACGGUACAAUACUUAUGCCUUUUCUCUCUCAUUUUACAAGGUUUACAUGAAGAGGGAGAAUGCUGGCAGCUGGAAUUCUGGCCUGAAAAAGGGGCAAGUUUGAGAUACCUAUUGUGCGCAACUCCAAAAGCCGUAAAAAUCAACGAGGAAUUAUUUGGGAUUUUAUAAAAAAUACUAGGUGGAAGAAGUACGAGAGGGGAGCCACCAGGAGGCCACAAGCCUGCUAGGCGAGGCCUACACCCCUGGCCACGCCUAGGGGGCUUGUGGGCCCCCUGUUGGCCCUCUGGCUCCCAUCUUUUGCUAUAAGGAGGGUUUCGUUCCAGAAAAUAAAAUCAAGAGGAGGCUUUCGGGAGGAAUCGCCACCGCCACGAGGCGGAACUUGAGCAGAACCAAUCUAGAGCUCCGGCAUGGCCGUCCUGCCAGGGAAACUUCCCUCCCGGAGGGGGAAAUCGUCGCCAUCGUCAUCACCAACACUCCUCUCAUCGGAGGGGACUCAUCACCAUCAACAUCUUCAUCAGCACCAUCUCAUCUCCAAACCCUAGAUCAUCUCUUGUAACCAAUCUCCGUCUCGCGACUCCGAUUGGUACUUGUAAGGUUGCUAGUAGUGUUAAUUACUCUUUGUAGUUGAUGCUAGUUGGAUUACUCAGUGGAAGAUUAUAUGUUCAGAUCCUUGAUGCUAUUCAAUACCUCUCUGGUCAUGAAUAUAAUUAUGCUUUGUGAUUAGUCACUUUUGUUCCUGAGGACAUGGGAUAAGUCUUGCUAUAAGUAGUCAUGUGAAUUUGGUAUUCGUUCGAUAUUUUGAUGUGUUGUAUGUUGUUUUUCCUCAAGUGGUGUUAUGUGAACGUCGACUACAUAACACUUCACCAUUAUUUGGGCCUAGAGGAAGGCAUUGGGAAGUAAUAAGUAGAUGAUCGCUUGCUAGAGUGACAGAAGCUUAAACCCUAGUUAUGUGUUGCUUCGUAAGGGGCUGAUUUGGAUCCACUAGUUUAAUGCUAUGGUUAGAUUUUGUCUUAAUUCUUCUUUCGUAGUUGCGGAUGCUUGUGAGAGGGGUUAAUCAUAAGUGGGAUGUUUGUCCAAGUAAGGGCAGCACCCAAGCACCGGUCCACCCACAUAUCAAACUAUCAAAGUAGCGAACGCGAAUCAUAUGAACAUGAUGAAAACUAGCUUGACAGAAAUUCCCAUGUGUCCUCGGGAGCGCUUUACCUCCUAUAAGAGUUUGUCGAGGCUUUUCCCUUACUACAAAAGGGAUUGGGCCAUCUUGCUGCACCUUUGUUACUUGCUACUUGCUAAGAAUCAUCUUAUCACACAACUAUCUGUUACCGAUAAUUUCAGUGCUUGCAGAGAAUACCUUGCUGAAAACCACUUGUCAGAUCCUUCUGCUCCUCGUUGGAUCCGAUACUCUUAAUUAUCGAAAGGACUAAGAUAGAUCCCCUACACUUGUGGGUCAUCAUACCACAACACGAUUUCUUUUCGAGAUGUGUGUGGAUGAAGUUUUUGAGACUUAGGUGAAACCGGGAUAUGCGAGGAUUGAAAGAGAUACAAAAUAUCAAGCUUGGGGAUUCCCAAGGCACCCCAAAUAAAUAUUUCAAGAAGUCUCAAGCAUCUAAUCUUGGGUAUGCUAUGCAUCCCACCUCGCUUCAUGAAAAACUAUCGGUUAGCCUAUGUUGAUCCUAAGUUUUUAUUUCUUCACAUGAUAUGUGCUAUUCUUGGAGUGUGUUUUUGUUUUCUUUGACGUUUGAAAUAAAUCUCAGAUCUGAAAUUAUUUAUUGAGAGAUAGUCCUCACAUAGCUACUUAAAUGUUUGACUACUCAUUGAUCUUCACUUAUAUCUUUUGAGAGUAGUUUGAUGUUUACUCUUGUGCUUCACUUAUAUCCAAAGAGUAAAUUGUGAAUGGAUGAAAUAUCAUAAAUAUGAAAAUAUCUCUAUGCUUUAUGCUCUUUAGUAGUUUCAUAUUUGGCUUAGAAAGAAAAAUCUAUUGAAGUUUGACAAUUACAACAUUGGUCACUUGAACAAUUCAUGAAUGAUUAGUAUAAGAAAGAGAACUUUCACAUACAGAUAUAUUAUCUUGGACAUUUAUGAUUGUGAAUACCCAUUAAUUAUUUUCAACAUUGAUCAAAUAGUUGAACGUGGAAAAGGAAGACAAUUUAAUGGUUAUGUUUGGGUAUAUUUACAUAGAAGUUAUAUUGUUAUGGAUCCUCCAACAUGUGGUGCUUGUCUAGAACCUUUUGGUACCAAAAAACUUCAUACUAAGUAGAGAUACUACUUGUGCAUCCAAAUCCUUGAGCCAAGUUUCUUCCACGAGAGUCCAUCAUACCUACCUAUAUAUGGCAUUUCACUGUCAUUCCAAGUAAAUUUGCAUGUGCCACCUCUAAACCUGAAAUAAACAUAUGUUUCGUGUGCCCGUACCGCUCAUGGAGAGAUCGAUGCGGUCGGUAUCUUCCAUGCUAAGUAGGUUCUUCUCUUGACGAGUGUUUAUUCACUUGUCAUUGUGCGAGAGAGGCUGGUAAAAAGGAUGUCCAGUCCUACAUAAUAAAUAUGAAUUAAUAAGUAAACAAGAACUCCCCCUAGAAAGUUGAUUGUUUGGAGAGCACCCGUGGAUACGGUUAGCCAUGGAAUGUGUUUGAAUUGUUGAGGGGGAGUAAAGUUAUAAUUCUGUUUGGGAACACCACUAAUAUGAUUAGCAUGUAAGAUAUUGAAAUCCCUUGUCAUAACAUUGAGAGGAAAUGCACACCACCAAAAAUAAAUUCAUCUCUAUUUUAAACAUUGAGAUGUGGCACCUCUACAAAUCUCGGCUUCCCUCUCUGAAGGGACAAUGUAUUUACUUUUAUGUUAUUUACUUUCAUGUAUUUACUUUUUUCAUCUUCAGUCAACUUCUUAUUCCAACCUCAGUCUAUUAGCUUGCAAAUAUCAUAUGGUGGGGAACGAUCCACACGUAUAUAUCCAGUCAAAUAUAUUUAAUCAUCGUUCAUUAUUGUUGACAAUUAUCUUUAUGAUAAGCGUGUCGGGAGGCGAAACAUUAAGCCCCUAUCUUUCUAUGUGUUCGAUGGAUGUUGUUUGUUCAAAGAAUAUGCUUUGGGUAUUAGCAAUCAUAGAAGACUAUAUGCUAAUUGAGUAUUAUGAGCUCUUUCUUAGACUUUGCUAAAAAUAAGAUGCAUUGUAAUCAUUUGUUGACUCAGAACAUAAGUUGUUAAGUUUAUAGAGAAUGCAUUGUUUGAACCAUAACAUGUGAAUUGAUUGCUACUUUAUCAUGAUNNNNNNNNNNNNNNNNNNNNNNNNNNNNNNNNNNNNNNNNNNNNNNNNNNNNNNNNNNNNNNNNNNNNNNNNNNNNNNNNNNNNNNNNNNNNNNNNNNNNCCUUAAGCAAGAUGACAUGAUGUAGAGGGAUAAUCUCAAACCAAUGAUAAAAACCCCAUCUUUUUACCCUCGAUGGCAACUGAUUGACGUGUGCCUUGCUGCCCCUACUGUCACUGGGAAGGUCACCACAUGGCAGAACCCAAAACCAAGCACUUCGCCCAUUGCAAGAAUCAUAGAUCUAGUUGGCCAAAAAAACCCAAGACUCGGAGAGACUUACAGGGAUAUCAAAUCAUGCAUAUAAGAAAUUAGCAAAGACUCAAAUAUAUAUCAUAGAUAAUCUGAUCACAAGUCCACAAUUCAUCAGAUCUCGACAAACACACCGCCAAAGAAGAUUACAUCGGAUAGAUCUCCAUGAAGAUCAUGGAGAACUUGGUAUUGAAGAUCCAAGAGAGAGAAGAAGCCAUCUAGCUACUAACUACGGACCCGUAGGUCUGAAGUGAACUACUCACGAGUCAUUGGAGGGGCGAUGAUGAUGAUGAAGAAGCCCUCCACCUCCAAAGUCCCCUCCGGCAGGGCACCGGGAAGGGUCUCCAGGUGAGAUCUCGCGGAAACGGAAGCUUGCAGCGGCGGAAAAGUAUUUUCGAGGCUCCCCUGAUUUUUUGCGGAAUAUUUGGGAAUAUAUAGGCGCAAAACCUAGGUCAAGAGGCGGCCAGGGAAGCCACAAGCUUGCCCACCGCCACCUCCCCCCUGGUGGCAUGGUGCAAGCUUGUGGGCUCCCUGGGGCCAACCUGGCUUGGCCCAAAGGCUCCCUGGUCUUCUUUCGUUCGGGAAAAAAUCAUAUCGGGGAUUUUGUUCCGUUUGGACUCCGUUCCAAAAUCAGAUUUGAAAAGAGUGAAAAACACGGAAAAACAGGAACUGGCACUUGGCACUGAAUCAAUAAGUUAGUCCCCAAAAAGAUAUAAAAAAGGUACAUAAAACAUACAAAGAAGACAAGAUAACAACGUGAAACCAUAAAAAAUUAUAGAUACGUUUGAGACGUAUCAAGCAUCCCUAAGCUUAACUCCUGCUCGUCCUCGAGUAGGGAAGUGAUAAGAAUGAAUUUUUGAUGCUUUCAUGCUACCUAGCAUAGGUGUCCUUUGUAAUUCCUCUUAUGUGACGUGAAUGUUCAGAUCCCUUAGAUUCAAAACAAUAGUUUGCUAUUGACGUGGAAACUAUAAUAAUUCAAGCAAACUAGCAAAGUAAUCAUGAACUUUCAAAAUAACAAGGCCAAAAGAAAGUUAUCCCUACAAAAGCAUAUAGUCUGGCUAUGCUCUAUCAUCAUUGCACAACGAAUUUAAAUCAUGCACAACCCCGGUAUUGGCCAAGUAAUUGUUUCACACCUUUACUUUCUCAAACAUUUUCAACUCUCACGCAAUACAUGAGCGUGAGCCAUGGUUAUAGCACUAUAGAUGGUGUGGAAUGUGGUGGAGUUUGCAAAACAAAAAGGAGAAGAUAGUCACAUUAACUAGGCAUAUCAAUGAGCUGUGGAGAUGCUCAUCAAUAGAUAUCAAUGUGAAUGAGUAGGGAUUGCCAUACAAAUGAUGCACUAGAGCUAUAAGUACGUGAAAGCUCUUAAAGAAAACUAGUGGGUGUGCAUCCAACUUGCUUGCUCUCGAAGACCUAAGGCAAUUUUGAGGAAGCCUAUCAUUGGAAUAUACAAGCCAAGUUAUAUAAUGAACAUUUCCCACUAGCUAUAUGAUGGUGACAAAACGAGAGACUCUCAAUCAUGAAGAUCAUGGUGCUCAAAAUGCACAAGUGUGGAAAAAAUGGUACCAUUGUCCCUUCUCUCUUUUUCUCUCAUAGCAUAUAUAUAUAUUGGUGGGCUAUUUGGCCUCUUCUUUAUGGGAUUCUUUGGCCUCUUUUAUUUGCUCACAUGGGACAAUGCUCCAAUAAUGAUGAUCAUCACACUUUCAACUCAAAACUUAGAGCAAUUAUGACUCUAUAUGGAAUGCCUUCGGUAGUGUACCGUGGCAAUGAUCUACCAUGGCAUAGACAUCAAUGGCAACAUCAUGCUAGCUAUCUUACGAUCAUGCAGUGGCAAUGUAGACGUGGUGGCACAUAUCAUGGUGGUAGUUGCAUGGCAAUAUAUCUCGGAAUGACUUUGAAAAAGCCAUAGUAGGUAGGUAUGGUGGCUGUUUUGAGGGAGGCUAAAGGUGGGUUUUGUGCACCGGCGAAAGUUGCACGACACUAAGAAGAUAGUGAUGGUGGAAGGUGAAAGUGCAUCUAAACCAUGGACUCAACAUUAGUCAUGAAGAACUCAUAUACUUGUUGCAAAAGUUUUAUUAGUAAUCGAAACAAAGCAUUCAACACAUACUCCUAGGGGAAGGGUUGGUAGGUAUAAACCAUCGCGCGAUCCCGACCGCCACGCAAAGGAUGACAAUCAAUAGACUAAUCAUGCUCAGAUUUCAUCACAUAGAGGUUCACCAUACGUGCAUGCUACGGGAAUCACUAACUUCAACACAAGUAUUUCUAGAUUCAUAACACCUCACUAGCAUGAUUUCAAUAUUACCAUAACCACAACUCAAAACUAAUUGAGAUGAAUCAAACUUCUCUAACUAUUCAAUGCACAUGAAGCAGGAAGUUUUCGUAUCCCUUUGGAUAACUACCCCUUUUGAGACUACUUUCAAAGCAUAGAUCAACUACCAAGCCACGCACCGCUGCACUCUAAAAGAUAUAAGUGAAGCACAUAGAGCAAAAGUAUCUAGCUCAAACGAUAUAAGUGAAGCACAUGUGAGCUGAAUUGUCUACCAAAAGAUAUAAGUGAAGCUCGACAAAAUCACGGUGUGUGCAUGUAUCUCUCUCUAGGUGUGCAGCAAGGAUUAUUGUGACACAACAAAAAUAAAAGACUCCUACGAUACAAGACGCUCCAAGCAAAAACACAUAACAUGUGGUGAAUAAAAAUAUAGCCCCAAGUAACGUUACCGAUGGAUUGAAGACGAGAGAGGGGAUGCCUUCCCGGGGCAUCCCCAAGCUUAGGAUUUUACGGCAUCCUUGAAUCUCUUGGGGUGCCUUGGGCAUCCCCAAGCUUGAUCUCUUGCCACUCUUUAUCUUUUUGUCCAUAAGAACUUCACCCAAAACUUGAAAACUUCACAACACGAAACUUAAACAGAAACUCGUGAUAACAUUAGUACAAGAAAGCAAACCACCACUUCCUUAGGUAUUGUAGCAAACUUAAAUUAUACUUGUUCUAAUGUUGGGUUACUGUACUUUCAAUCUUCCAUGGCUAAUACCCCCGAUACUAUCCAUAGUUUCAUCAAAAUAAGCAACCAACACAACAAAAACAGAAUCUGUUAACAGCAGACCAGUCUGUAGCAAUCUGUAUGUUUCGUAUACCUCUGGUACUUCAAAAAUUCUGAAAAAUUACGACAGUCUGAAGAAUUUGCAUAUAAAUCAGCAUAAAAAAGAAUCAACUCAAAAUCUCUUACAGAAAAAAAUGAAAAUUCGUUUUGUGAGCAGAAAGUUUCUGUCUUUCCCAGCAUGACCAAACGAUCAUCCCCAAGACAAAUCAUAACGGUUUUGCUUGGCACGAACACAAAAAGAAACACAAAAAACACAAUCAUAACAGAAUUAUGAAAGUGUGGAAAACACAAAACAGAAAGAAAAAGGAUAGAUUCGUUGGGUUGCCUCCCAACAAGCGCUUUUGUUUAACGCCCUUAGCUAGGCGAAAGUGAUGGAAUCACGUAUAGUCAUCUUUGGUGCUCAAACCAUAGGUAGCCCUCAUCAUAGAUUCAUAAGGCAAUCUUAUUUUAUUUCUAGGAAAGUGCUCCAUGCCCUUCUUUAAGGGAAAUUGAAAUCUAAUAUUCCCUUCCUUCAUAUCGAUGAUAGCACCAAUAGUCCUUAGGAAAGGUGUACCAAGAAUAAUGGGACAUGAAGGAUUGCAAUCUAUGUCAAGUACAAUGAAAUCCACGGGUACAUAGUUCUUAUUUGCAACAAUAAGAACAUCAUCUAUCCUUCCCAUGGGUUUCUUGACAGUAGAAUCCGCAAGAUGCAAAUUAAGAGAACACUCUUCAAUCUCAUGAAAACCAACAAUAUCACAUAAAGACUUUGGAAUCGCGGAAACACUAGCACCCAAAUCACACAAAGCAUUGCACUCAUAGUUUUUGAUGUUGAUUUUGAUAGUAGGUUCCCACUCAUCAUGAAGUUUUCUAGGAAUCGAGACUUCUAGUUCGAGCUUCUCUUCAAGAGAUUUCAUCAUAGCAUCUACGAUAUGCACGGUAAAGGCUUUGCUUUGGCUAUAAGCAUGUGGAGAGUUUGCAAUGGAUUGCAUCAAAGAAAUGCAUUCAAACAAGGAGCAAUUAUCAUAAUUGAAUUCCUUGAAAUCCAAAGUGGGAGUUUCAUUACUACCCCAAAUUUUGACUUCUUCUACUCCACUCUCCACACCUUUAUCAUCAAGAUAGGUGAACUCCGAAUCAUCGGGGCGUUUUUCAACCAAAGUGGAUUCAUAUCCAGCCCCUCCAUAAGUAGGUUUGACACGCAAAAACAAAGAUUCAAGAGGAGACACACCAAGCACUUUAAGAUCUUCGUGAUUUGCAUCACAAGAACGCACCCUUUUAAACCACUCAUGUCUAGCGUGAAUUUGGGCGGUUCUUUCUUUGCUCUCAUUCAUGGAGAUACGCAUAGCUUUCAAAGUUUCAUCCAAGUUGAUCUUGGGAGGAGCGCAUCUAACUUUCAAAGCAUCAAUAUCAAAAGACAUCCUAUCAACGCUCUUAGCCAAAUCGUCUAUUUUGAGUAGUUUUUCCUCUAUGGACGCAUUGAAAAUCUUUUGAGAGUUGAUGAACUCCUUGAUAUUACUCUCUAGAUCAGAGGGUAAUUUGUUAUGAUUUCCAUAAGUGUUGUCGUAGGAAUUGCCAUAAUUGUUAGAGGAGUUACUAGGAAAAGGCCUAGGAACAUAGUUUCCUCUAAAAGCAUUGUUGUUGCCAAAAUUGUUCCUACCAACAAAAUUCACGUCCAAACUAGCGUUGCUACUCUCAAUCAAAGAAGAUACUGGCAUGUCAUUAGGAUCUACGGUAGCGUUUCUACUAGCAACCAAAUUCAUCAACUCGUCCAUCUUAGCACUAAGUGAGUUAAUCUCUUCUAUAGCGUGCACCUUUUUGCUAGCAGGCGACCGUUUAGUGUGCCACUGAGAGUAAUUGGUCAUGAUAUUGUCUAGGAGUUUUAUAGCGUCUCCUAACGUGAUUUCCAUGAACGGUCCACCUGAGGCGGAGUCCAAGAUAUUGCGAGAAGAGAAAUUCAAGCCAGCGUAGAAGAUUUGUAUAAUCAUCCACAAACUCAAGCCAUGAGCGGGACAAUUUCUAAUCAUAAGCUUCAUCCUCUCCCAAGAUUGUGCAACAUGUUCAUGAUCAAGUUGCUUGAAAUUCAUGAUAUCGUUACAUAAGGAGAUGAUUUUAGCCGGCAGAAAAUACUUGGAUAUGUAAGCAUCUUUGCACCUAUCCCAAAAAUCGAUACUAUUUUUAGGCAAAGAAGAAAACCAAGUUUUUGCCCGAUCUCGCAACGAGAAAGGAAAAAGUUUCAACUUAAUCACGUCAUUAUCCACAUCUCUUUUCUUUUGCAUAUCACAAAGUUCAAUGAAGGUAUUGAGAUGGGAUGCGGCAUCUCCACUAGGAAGGCCAGAGAAUUGCUCUUUCAUAACAAGAUUCAGCAAAGCUGCGUUGAUUUCAUAUGAUUCCGCACUAGUGGCGGGAGCAAUCGGAGUACUAAUAAAAUCAUUAUUAUUAGUGCUAGAGAAGUCUCAAAGUUUGGUGUUUUCAGACAUGAUGUCUUGAACAAACAAACAAGCACACAAGCAAGCAAGAAAACCAACAAAGGGAAACGGCAAAAAGUCAAAAGAAAACGGCGAAGGAGAAAGGCAAAUGAAAACGGCAAAUGAGAAGUGGGGAGAGGAAAACGAGAGGCAACACGCAACAAAAGUAAAUGCAAGAGAAGAGUUUGUGAGACCUACUUGGAUAGAUCUUGAUUUCUCUUCCCCGGCUACGGCGCCAUAAAUUCUUCUGCUACUGCAACAAAAGACCUUCCAACGGCGCCAGAAAUAGGAGUGUUGCUUGAUACUCCUCAGCAACGGCACCAGGAAUCCUUCAGCUGCGGCUACGCCUUAAGGGACUUCCUAGGCAAGUAUGCAAAGGAUUUCCCCCGUGGCCUUGGAGCCUUGCGUUGGUGUUCCCUCGAAGCGGAAAGGGUGAUGUAGCGUAGCGGUGGUAAGUAUUUCCCUCAGUUUGAGAACCAAGGUAUCAAUCUGGCGAAAGAGUAUCUCAAGAUCCUGCACAAACACAAAAGCUUGCACCCAGCGCUAUGAAGGGGUUGUCAAUCCCUUAUAGAUGUUUGCCAAGUGAGAACUGAAAGCAACAAAGUAACAAAGCAAAGUAAAAGCGGAAGUGUAAACGAUGGAUGUGAAUAGACCCGGGGGCCGUAGUGUUUACUAGUGGCUUCUCUCAUGAAAGCAAGUAGACGGAGGGUGAACAAAUUACUGUCGAGCAAUUGAUAGAACUGUGCAGAGUCGUGACGGUAUCUAUGCAAUGAUUAUUUCUAUAGGCAUCACAUCCGAAACAAGUAGACUGAUACUAUGUGCAUCUACUACUAUUACUCCACACGUCGACCGCUAUCCAGCAUGCAUCUAGUGUAUUAAGUCCAUAAGGACAGAGUAACGCCUUAAGCAAGAUGACAUGAUGUAGAGGGAUAAUCUCAAACCAAUGAUAAAAACCCCAUCUUUUUACCCUUGAUGGCAACUGCUUGAUGUGUGCCUUGUUGCCCCUACUGUCACUGGGAAAGGUCACCACAUGGCAGAACCCAAAACCAAGCACUUCUCCCAUUGCAAGAAUCAUAGAUCUAGUUGGCCAAACAAAACCCAAGACUCGGAGAGACUUACAAGGAUAUCAAAUCAUGCAUAUAAGAAAUCAGCAAAGACUCAAAUAUAUAUCAUAGAUAAUCUGAUUACAAGUCCACAAUUCAUCGGAUCUCGACAAACACACCACCAAAGAAGAUUACAUCGGAUAGAUCUCCAUGAAGAUCAUGGAGAACUUGGUAUUGAAGAUCCAAGAGAGAGAAGAAGCCAUCUAGCUACUAACUAUGGACCCGUAGGUCUGAAGUGAACUACUCAUGAGUCAUUGGAGGGGCGAUGAUGAUGAAGAAGAAGCCCUCCACCUCCAAAGUCCCCUCCGGCAGGGCGCCGGGAAGGGUCUCCAGAUGAGAUCUCGUGGAAACGGAAGCUUGCGGCGGCGGAAAAGUAUUUUCGAGGCUCCCCUGAUUUUUUGCGGAAUAUUUGGGAAUAUAUAGGCGCAAAACCUAGGUCAGGAGGCGGCCAGGGAAGCCACAAGCUUGCCCACCGCCGCCUCCCCCCUGGUGGCGUGGUGCAAGCUUGUGGGCUCCCUGGGGCCCACCUGGCUUGGCCCAAAGGCUCCGUGGUCUUCUUUCGUUCGGGAAAAAAAUCAUUUUGGGGAUUUUAUUCCGUUUGGACUCCAUUCCACAUCAAAUCUGAAAAGAGUCAAAAACAUGGAAAAACAGGAACUGGCACUUGGCACUGAAUCAAUAUGUUAGUCCCCAAAAAGAUAUAAAAAGGUACAUAAAACAUACAAAGAAGACAAUAUAACAGUGUGAAACCAUCAAAAAUUAUAGAUACGUUUGAGACAUAUGAGACGACAGAAGGAUCUCUCGCACCAUUGCCAGGGAAGGACUUUUGUUGCCGUAGCAGAAGGAUUUCUGGCGCCGUUGCCGGGGAGGAUCAAGUCAAGAACUCAUCCAAGUAAGUGUCGCAAACUCAUCUCUUGCAUUUACUUUUUUGCCUCUCGUUUUCCUCUCCUCCACUUAUGAAAAACAAAAAUUUACAAAAAUAUUUGCCUUUUUCAUUCGCCCUUUUAUUUCGCUUGCCUUUCCUUUGCUUUUGUGCUAUGUGCCUUCAAUAUGCUUGCAUCUUUGCUUGCUGAAAAUCUAGUGAUAUGGAUCUUCAUCCACUUGCUAAUCUCUUUAAGAGAUCCAAUUAUGUUGAUCCAAUUGCUAGUGAGUUGAGUGCACUUGACUAUCUUUAUGGAGUUUUGCUUGAGAUGCGUGAAUCUGAAAAUCGUGAUGAAGAAAUUUAUGAAGUGAUUCACAAGGGCUCCUUGAAUGAAAAUCAUGAUUGCAAUGGUUUCACUAUAAAUCCUAUUAGUGACAAUCAUGCCAAAAAUGUGCAAAACCCUAAGCUUGGGGAUGCUAGUUUUGCUUUGUCCACUAGUUGUUGCAAUGAUCAUGAUUGGGGUAAUGAUUUUUCUUAUGAUCUUGAAAAAAAAUUAAGCCUGAUGAUGAAUAUGAAGUUUGCAAUAAGAUUGAAAGUGGGUUUCGAGAAGUCAUGACUUUAGUUGAUGAUAAUCCCACUAUUUUUGAAGAGCGUCAACUUUGCAUGAAUGGGAUCAUGAAAAGAAUAUCUUUUGUGAUAGCUAUAUUGUUGAAUUUGAAUAUGAUCCCACAUGUAAUUAUUAUGAGAGAGGACAAUAUUGUGGUAGAAACUUUCAUACCACUAAAUUACCUCUCGUUAUGUUGAGAUUGCUAUUGUUUCUUUCUUCUUCCUUGCAUGCGGUAACUAUUGGAUGUCUUGACAAUCUGUUUUACUAUAAAAUGCCUAUGCAUAGGAAGUAUGUUAGACUUAGAUGUAAUCUUCACAUGCUUUAUGAUGCUCUCGUUGUGCUUCAAUUCUUGUCUUUUGUGUGAGCAUCAUUGAAUUAUCAAUGCCUAGCUAAGGGCGUUAAACAAUAGCGCUUGUUGGGAGGCAACCCAAUGAAUUUAUCUUUUUUCUUUCUGUUUUGUGGNUUUUGUGGCGUCCACACCAUCAUAAUUCUGUUGUGAUUGUGUUUUUUUUGUGUUUCUUUUUGUGUUUGAGCCAAGCAAAACCUUUAUGACUAGUCUUGGUAAUGGUUGUUUGAUCCUGCUGGAAAAAGACACAAACUUUUCGCUCACGAGAUGAUUUUUUCAUUUUUAUUCAGAAAGAUCUUUUGAGUUGAUUCUUUUUUCUGCUGGUUGAUAUGCCUUUUUCCCAGGCAUUCAUAAUUUUUCAGAAUUUUUGAGCUACCAGAAGUAUACGAAGUAUACAGAUUGCUACAGACUGGUCUGUUUUUGACAGAUUUUGUUUUUGUUGAGUUGGUUGCUUGUUUUGAUGAAACUAUGGUUAGUAUCGGGGGGUACUAGCCAUGGAAAAGUAAGAAUACAGUACCCAACACCAAUAUAGAUAGAAUUCAAGUUUGCUACAGUACCAAAAGAGGUGGUAGUUUGUUUACUUGUGCUAAUGUUAUCACGAGUUUCUGUUUAAGUUUUGUGUUGUGAAGUUUUCAAGUUUUGGGUGAUGUUCUCAUAGACAAAGAGAUAAGGAGUGGAAAGAGCUCAAGCUUGGGGAUGCCCAAGGCAUCCCAAGACAAAUUCAAGGACACCAAAAAGCCUAAGCUUGGGGAUGCCCCGGGAAGGCAUCCCCUCUUUCGUCUUCAAUCCAUCGGUAACAUUACUUGGAGCUAUAUUUUUAUUCACCACAUGAUAUGUGUUUUGCUUGGAGCGUCUUGUAUCGUAGGAGUCUUUUCUUUUUGUUGUGUCACAAUCAUCCUUUCUGCACACCUUUUUGAGAGAGAGACAUGCACUCAUCGUGAUUUUGCUAGAAUGCUCAUAGUGCUUCACUUAUAUCUUUUGAGCUAGAUAAUUUUGCUCUAUGUGCUUCACUUAUAUCUUUUAGAGCACGGAGGUGCGUGACUUGGUAGUUGGCUUAUGCUAUGAAAGUAGUCCCAAAGGUGAUAGGUACCCAAAGAGGAUACAAAAACCUCCAUCUUCAUGUGCAUUGAGUAGAAAGAGAAGUCUGGAUUCCUCUCAAUUAGUUUUGAGACAUGGAUUUGGUAAUAUUAAGAGCUAUGUUAGUAGGGUGUUGUGAAUCUAGAAAUACUUGUGUUGAAGUUAGUGAUUCCCGUAGCAUGCACGUAUGGUGAACCGUUAUGUUAGGAAGUCGGAGCAUAAUUGAUCUAUUGAUUGUCAUCCUUUGUGUUGAGAUCGGGAUCGCGCGAUGGUGAACACCUACCAACCCUUCCCCUAGGAGUAUGCGUUUAGCACUUUGUUUCGAUUACUAAUAAAAACUUUCGCAACAAGUAUGUGAGUUCUUCAUGACUAAUGUGAGUCCAUGGUAUAGAUGCACUUUCACCUUCCACCAUUUCUAGCCUCUCUAGUGCCGCACAACUUUCGCCGGUACACAAACCCACCAUAUGCCUUCCUCAAAACAGCCACCAUACCUACCUACUAUGGCAUUUUCAUAGCCAUUCCGAGAUAUAUUGCCAUGCAACUCCCACCGUUCCUUCUCAUGACUUGUGUUGUCACUCUCAUAUUGCCAUUGCAUGAUUGUAAGAUAGCUAGCGAGAUGUUUCAACGUCAUACGCCAAUCUAGAUCGUUGCACAUCCCGGUACACUAUCGGAGGCAUUUACUAUAGAGUCAUCAUCGUUCUAAGCUUUGAGCUGUGAGUAAAUAAAAGUGUGAUGAUCAUCAUUAUUAGAGCAUUGUCCCAUGUGAGGAAAAAAAGAGGCCAAAGAGCCCAAAUAAAAAAAGAGGCCAAGAGCCCAAACAAAAAAAGAGAGAAAAAGAGAGAAGGGACAAUGCUACUAUCUUUUUCCACACUUGUGCUUCAUAAUAGCACCAUGUUCUUCAUGAUUGAGAGCUUCUUGCUUUGUCACUACCAUAUGCUAGUGGGAAUCUACAUUAUAUAACUUCUCUUGUAUAUUCCAAUGAUGGGCUUCCUCAAAAUUCCCUAGGUCUUUGUGAGCAAGCAAGUUGGAUGCACACCCACUAGUUCUCCUUCUGAGCUUUCACAUACUUAUAGCUCUAGUGCAUCUCUUGUAUGGCAAUCCCUACUCAUUCACAUUGAUAUCUAUUAAUGGGCAUCUCCAUAACCCUUUUAUACGCCGAGUCAAUGUGACCAUCUCCUCCUUUUUGUCUCACAACCACCACCACACUCUAUUCCACCUAUAGUGUUAUAUCCAUGGCUCAUACUCAUGUAUUGCGUGAUAGUUAUAAAAAGUUUGAGAAAGUAAGAGUGCGAAAACAAUUACUUGGCCAAUACAGGGGUUGUGCAUGAUUUAUAUUAGUUGUGUGAGGAUGAUGGAGCAUAGCCAGACUAUAUGAUUUUGUAGGGAUAACUUUCCUUGGCCUUGUUAUUUUGAAAGUUCAUGAUUACCUUGCUAGUUUGCUUGAAGUAUUAUUGUUUUCAUGUCAAUAGCAAACUAUUGUUUUGAAUCUUACGGAUUUGAACAUUCAUGUCACGUGAAAGAAGUUGCAAAGGACAACUAUGCUAGGUAGCAUUCCACAUCAAAAAUUCAGUCUUUAUCACUUCCCUACUCGAGGACGAGCAGGGGUUAAGCUUGGGAUUCUUGAUACGUCUCCAACGUAUCUAUAAUUUUUGAUGGUUUCAUGCUAUUAUCUUGUCAAACUUUGGAUGUUUUGCAUGCCUUUUAUAUAUUUUUUGGGAGUAACUUAUUAACUCAGUGCCAAGUGCCAGUUCCUGUUUUUUCCAUGUUUUUGACCCCUUUCAGAGAAGGAUUUUGAACGGAGUCUAAACGGAAUGAAACUGCCAAAAAUAUUUUUUCCAAAACAGAUAAAGAUCGGGAAGCUGAAGAAUCAGGGCAGGGGGCCUGCAGGGACCCCACAAGCCCCCUAGCCACGGCCAGGGGGGCCCCCGCCUCCCUGGCUUGUGGGCUCCCUGGGCCACCUCUGCCCUAGGUUUUGCGCCUACAUAUUCCCUAAAAUCCCAUAAAAAAUCAGGAGAUCAUCGAAAGUACUUUUCCGCCGCCGCAAGCCUGUGUCUCCGCAAGAUCCCAUCUGGGGCACGUUCUGGUGCCCUGCCGGAGGGGGGAUUCGGAUACGGAGGGCUUCUUCAUCAACACCAUGACCUCUCCGUUGAUGCGUGAGUAGUUCACCAUAGACCUACGGGUCCAUAGCUAGUAGCUAGAUGGCUUCUUCUCUCUCUUGGAUCUUCAAUACAAUGUUCUCCAUGAUCUUCAUGGAGAUCUAUCCGAUGUGGUCUUCCUUUGCGGUGUGUUUGUCGAGAUCCGAUGAAUUGUGGAUUUAUGAUCAGAUUAUCAAUGAAUCUUAUUUGAGUUUCUUCUUAUCUCUCUUAUGCAUGAUUUCAUAUCCUUGUAAUUCUCUUCGAGUUGUGGGUUUUGUUUGGCCAACUAGAUCUAUGAUUCUUGCAAUGGGAGAAGUGCUUGGUUUUGGGUUCGUACCGUGCGGUGACCUCACCCAGUGACAGAAGGGGUAGCGAGGCACGCAUCAUGUUGUUGCCAUCAAGGGUAAAAAGAUGGGGUUUUCAUCAUCGGUUUGAGAUUAUGUGACAGCCCGAUGCCGACGUUCCAGAAGAUUCCCCCUUCUAUUCCGUUUCCGUCAUGGCUUAUUUUUAUUUGUUGCAUCAUCAUUUAGUUUGCAUCGUCGCAUCAUGCAUGGCAUCUUGCAUCGUCUGUCGCGUGUGGUGUUUUGAGUGUGUGUGCUUCGAGUGCUCUCCGAGUCUUAGUGCGAUAGUAACUCCCCUCCUCUNNNNNNNNNNNNNNNNNNNNNNNNNNNNNNNNNNNNNNNNNNNNNNNNNNNNNNNNNNNNNNNNNNNNNNNNNNNNNNNNNNNNNNNNNNNNNNNNNNNNUCAACUAGAGGCUUACUAGGGACAGUGUUUUGUCUAUGUAUCCACACAAGUAUUGUGUUUCCAAUCAAUAUAAUUAUAGCAUGGAUAAUAAACGAUUAUCAUGAACUAAGAAAUAUAAUAAUAACUAAUUUAUUAUUGCCUCUAGGGCAUAUUCCCAACAGCUACUAACUACGGACCCGUAGGUCUGAAGUGAACUACUCACGAGUCAUUGGAGGGGCGAUGAUGUUGAUGUAGAAGCCCUUCAACUCCAAAGUCCCCUCCGGCAGGGCACCGGGAAGGGUCUCUAGAUGAGAUCUCGCGGAAACGGAAGCUUGCGGCGGCGGAAAAGUAUUUUCGUGGAUCCCUUGAUUUUUUCUGUAUUUUAGGGAAUAUAUAGGCGAAGGAUCUAGGUCAGGGGGCGCCAGGGAGGCCACAAGCCUGCCAUACGCCGCCCCCUCGUGGCGGAUGGGGGGCUUGUGGGCCCCCUGUAGCCCUCCUGGCUUGGCCCUCAAGCCCCCUGAUCUUCUUCCGUUCGGGAAAAAAUCAUUUCGGGGAUUUUAUUCUGUUUGGACUCCGUUCCAAAAUCAGAUCUGAAAAGAGCCAAAAACACAGAAAAAACAGGAACUGGCACUUGGCACUGAAUUAAUAAGUUAGUCCCAAAAAAGAUAUAAAAGGUACAUAAAACAUCCAAGGAUGACAAGAUAACAACAUGAAACCAUCAAAAAUUAUAGAUACAUUUGAGACGUAUCAAAUAUGUAGGAAACAAUAGGUCCCGCUAUUGGUUAUUGACCGUAGAGGUGUCUCGGUCAUGUCUACAUAGUUUCCGAACCCGCAUGGUCUGCACACUUAACGUUUGAUGAUGAUAUGAAUAUAGUUGAGUUAUUGUGUUGGUUACUGAAGGUUGUUGAGAGUCUCGGAUGAGAUCCCAGACACGACAAGGAGCUUCGGAAUGGUCCGAAGGUAAAGAAUGAUAUAUGGGAAGUUCUGUUUUGGUCACUCGAAAGAAUUCGGGCGUCACCGAUAUUGUAUCGGGAGUGGCAUAAGGGUUUCGGGGGUCCACCGAAAGGGGCCCACCCGCCUUAGGAGCCACAUGGGCUGAGGAGGGUGCACACCAGCCCCUGGUGGGCUAGGUACCCCUCCCACCAGGCCCAUGCGGCCAAGGGAUGGUGAGGGCAAACCAUAGGGGUGGCGCCACUCUAACUUGGGUGGCAGGCCACCUCAUAGGCCGUCGCCCCUCCUCUUGGGCGCGGCCCUAGGGCCAGCUGCCUCCACACCCACCCCCUAUAUAUAUGAGAGGGAGAGGGGGGAGCCGNNNNNNNNNNNNNNNNNNNNNNNNNNNUCUCUCUCUCUCGUAGUUCUUCUCCUCCAUCGUGAUCGCGACAACGCUUGGCGAAGCCCUAUCGAGAUCGCACCACCACCGCCGUUGUCAAGUCGUCGUGCUGCUGGAGAACUCAACUACUACUUCACCCACGCUCGCUGGAUUGAGGUGGUGAAGGCGUCAUCGAGCUGUACGUGAGCUGAGCGCGGAGGUUUCGUACGUUCGACACUUGAUUGGGACGUUCGUGAUUGGAUCACGAGACGGAUCGUGAUUGGAUCACGAAGACGUUCGACUAUAUCAACCGCGUUUCUCAACGCUUUUGCUUAGUGAUAUACAAGGGUAUGUAGAUACACUCCCCCUCUCGUAGAUGUUGAUCUACAUAGAUUGAUCUUGGUGAGCGUAUAAUUUUUCUUGUUUCCCAUGCAAUGUUCCCCAACAGUGGCAUCAUGAGCUAGGUCUAUGAGUACGUAGAUAACAUGCACGAGUAGAACACAAAGUGUUUGUGGGCGUCGAUAUUCAGAUUGCUUACUUCAUUGGUGUUAUAUUGAUUCGGUGGUAUUGUGGGAUGAAGGGGCCCAGACCAACCUUACUCGUCCACGUACAAGAGACUGGUUCCAUCGACUGACAUGCAACUUGUUGCAUAAAGAUGACCGACGGGUCUCUAUCUCUCCCACUUUAGUUGAAUCGGAUUCGAUAGUGAUGGUCCUUGUAGAAGGUUAAAUAACAACUUGAAUAUCACCAUUGUGGCUUUGCGUAUGUAAGAAUGGUUCUUGCUAGUCACCCAUAGCAGCCACGUAAAACAUCAAACAACAAAGUAGAGGACGUCUAACUUAUUUUUGCACGGUAUGUUGUGAUAUGAUAUGGCCAAGGACAUGAUAUGAUAUGUGAUGUAUGAGAUGAUCAUGUUUUGUAUGUCGAUGAGCACGGCAACCAGCAGGAGCCAUAAGGUUGUCGUUAAUUAUUUCUGCCUUUUUUACUUUAUUUGAUCGCUAUGAGUUAGCAAUAGUGGUAGAAGCAUAGUUGGCGCGACAACCCCGAUGGAGAUCAUGAUGUCAUCCCGGUGAUGAUAAAGAUCAUGCGGUGCUAUGGAGAUGGAGAUCAAAAGCACAAGAUGAUGAUGGCCAUAUCAUGUCACUAUUAUGAUUCACAUGUGAUGUUAAUCCUUUUAUGCAUCUUAUUUUUCUUAGGACGAUGGUAGCAUUAUAAGAUGAUCCCUCACUAAAAUUUCAAGAUAAAAUUGUGUUAUCCCCAAGUGUGCACCGUUGCGAAGGUUCGUCGUUACGAAGCACCACAUGAUGAUCGGGUGUGAUAAACUCUACGUUCACAUACAACGGGAGCAAGCUAGUUUGCGCAUGCAGAAUACUUGGGUUAAAAUUGACAAGCCUAGCAUGUACAUACAUGGUCUCAGAACAGAGGAGACCGAAAGGUCGAACAUGAGUCAUAUUGUAGAUAUGAUCAAUAUGGAUAUGUUCACCAUUGAAACCACCUCAUCUCACGUCAAAAAUGCAAUUUUCCCCAUGGGGAGGGUAUCUGUGGGGGUUUACCCGCUAAGAAGCGGUGACAAGGGGCAAAAAUCCCCCCAUGGGUAUAACGGGGCGGGUACCCAAGAAGCUAGCGGGGCGAGGAUGGGGCAAACUGGCGCCAUGGAGGCUCCAUGGAUACCCGGGACCCCACAUGUCAGUCAAACUAAUAACACCGUAUAUAUAGACAGGAAACCCGAACCCGCUCCACCUCUCCACUUCCAGCCGCCUCCAGCCUCCUAUGUUGGCAAAUCGUAGCAUAGUCCAUCCAUCCCCAUCCAUCCAUCCCGAUCCAUUCGCCCCUGGUUCAUCCAUCUCAUUGACCACCACCGGCAUGCUGCGGCGAGCAGCACUGGGUCGGCGCGUCAUCCGACCUCCCCUUCCCGCCUCAUCCUCCGAUCGUCGCCCUCUUCUGUGACCUCACCUCCUCACGACCUUGCCUCCUCCUCUUUCACCUCAAGGUCGGGCAAGUGUCCAUGUGUCUAGGACAGUGAUGAUGGCGAGCGACGACCGUGCAAGAAGCUGACUACGGUUGUGGUGUUGACGACGACGACCGAGGCCUCCUCUUUCUCCACCUCAAGCACAAAAAGGUGACCUCAGCAUCUACAUCGACUCGAUAGGCCGAGACCAUAUAGAUAAGUAGUUGACCAACAUCAUCAAGUUUUUGUAGUUGUUUGUUUCAUUUCAUGCGCCUGAAGUAUCUUGAAUGUGUAUGCAUCUUGUAGUUGUUAGUUUUUAUAGUUCUUGUAGUUGUUUUCCCAAGUAAUUGAUGUUGCAAUGGGGUAGCCUGUUAGGAUUUGUAAUGGCAUCAGGUUCACGUGAAUAUGUUGAGCAGGAUAAGCUACCUCGUGUGAAGACAAAGACCACAUCUAUGGUUUGGAAUGAGUUCAAUAGGGUUCUUGCUCAUGAAAAAUGGAAGAAUGAAUGUGUAUGGUGUCACGAGCUAUUUUGUGGAGAUCCAAAGUAUGGAACCUCACAUCUAAAUGCUCAUUUAGCAAGAUGUGCUUCUAGGCAGCCAAAUCAUUUUUAUUCUUUAAUCCUAAGUAAUGUUUCCACCUGCCAAUGGUAACUUACUAAUGUUUCCACUUGACUAUUGUUUAGGUGCCGACUUAGUGCAUGCUUGCAUGGAGUAGUGAAGAAUGAAGAAUAGAAGUCUUAGAGAUUUGAUGUUGUAGGAUGUGUGUGUGGCUGUGUCCUUUAUUAUGUUCACCAUGGAUGUGUGAUUUGAUGUUGUAGGUGUUGGGGGACGUAGUAAUAAUUCAAAAAUUUCCUACGUGUCACCAAGAUCAAUCUAGGAGAUACUAGCAAUGAGAGAGGGAGAACAUCUUCGUACCAUUGAAGAUCUCUAAGCGGAAGCGUUACUAUAACGCGGUCGAUGGAGUCAUACUCGCGGCUAUCCGAUCCAAGCACCAAACGAACGGUGCCUCCGCGUUCAACACACCUACAACUCGGGGACGUAUCCUUCUUCUUGAUCCAACAAGGGUGAAGGAGAAGUUGAGGGAGAGCUCCGGCAGCAUGACGGCAUGGCGGCGGUGGAGCUUGUGGUUCUCCGACAGGGCUUCGCCAAGCACCGCGGAGGAGGAGAAGUGGAGAGGUAGGGCUGCGCCAAGGGGAGAGGUUCAAGGCUGUGCGCAGCCCUCCCAACCCCAACUAUUUAUAAGAGGGAGGGAGUGGGGCCGGCCACCCUAGGAAAACCCUAAGAGGGGCGGUGGCAGCCCUAGGAGGAGGGGGCGACGGCGGCCCUAGGGGUGGCUUGCCUCCCAAGUCGGAGGGAGGCAGCCCCACGCCCUAGGGUUUUGCCCUAGGCGCCUUGGGCCACACUUGGUGGCUUGCACCAGCCCACCAGGGGCUGGUUCCCUCCCACUUUCGGCCCAUGUGUCCCUCCGGGAUAGGUGGACCCUCCCGGUGCACCCCUGGUACCCUUUUGGUGGUCCCGGUACAAUACCGAUAAACCCCGAAACCUUUUUGGUGACCGAAACUAGACUUCCCAUAUAUAAAUCUUCACCUCCGGACUAUUCCGGAACUCCUCAUGACGUACGGGAUCUCAUCCGAGACUCCUAAACAACCUUCGGUAACCACAUAUACAAUUCCCAUUACAACUCUAGCGUCACCGAACCUUAAGUGUGUAGACCCUACGGGUUCGGGAACCUUGCAAACAUGACCGAGACACCUCUCCGGCCAAUAAGAAAUAGCGGGAUCUAGAUACCCAUAUUGGCUCCCACAUAUUCCACAAUGAUCUCAUCGGAUGAACCACGAUGUCAAGGAUUUACUCAAUCCCGUAUAUAAUUCCCUUUGUCUACCGGUAUUAUACUUGCCCGAGAUUCGAUCGUCGGUAUCCCUAUACCUUGUUCAAUCUCGUUACCGGCAAGUCUCUUUACUCGUUCCGUAACACAUGAUCCCGUGGCUAACUUCUUAGUCACAUUGAGCUCAUUAUGAUGAUGUAUUACCGAGUGGGCCCAGAGAUACCUUUCCGUCACACGGAGUGACAAAUCCCAGUUUUGAUUCGUACCAACCCAACAUACACUUUCGAAGAUACAUGUAGUGCACCUUUAUAAUCACCCAGUUACGUUGCAACGUUUGAUACACCCAAAGCAUUCCUACGGUAUCCGGGAAUUGCACAAUCUCAUGGUCUAAGGAAAUGAUACUUGACAUUAUAAAAGCUCUAGCAGACGAACUACGCGAUCUUGUGAUAUGCUUAGGAUUGGGUCUUGUACAUCACAUCACUACUGUCUAUUGAUCAACGACACCCAAUGUCCAUGGCCGGGAAACCAUGACCAUCUAUUGAUCAACAAGCUAGCCAACUAGAGUCUCACUAGGGACAUGUUGUGGUCCAUGUAUUCACACAUGUAUUAAGGUUUCCGGUUAAUAUAAUUAUAGCAUGAACAAUCGACAAUUAUCAUGAACAAGGAAAUAUAAUAAUAACCAUUUUAUUAUUGCCUCUAGGGCAUAUUUCCAACACUAGGAUAGGAACUUUGAGUUUUGUAAUCCAUUUGCUAAAAUUAUUAUGUUAUUUGGUCAACCAUGAGUGGGUGAAUUUCUGAAAUUUGAUGUUUAUCAAUUAUAUUAUGAUUAUUGUGACACUUUUAUAUUUAUUCCAGCAGUGCAGAUAUGCUUUUUAUUCCUGAUUUAUGUGUUGCUUAUCUAUGUCAAACUUCUCUAAAUAUUUUGUUACGUGCCUUUAUUUUUGGACUGCUUGUUUGGAUCAACAAUGGUAUCAAGUCCAACACAGUCAGAUGCAAGUGCAGCAACUGUGAAUGGAGAUACACCGGCCUCAACGGUAGCAUCAAAAUGUGCAUUCCGGUCACAACAGCUUAUUGCUCAUGACAUCUGGCCUAUUCCGGUCACAAUGGUAGCAUCAGAAUCCACAGUCUCUAAAAGUGGUAGAAUCCUCAGCUCUCACCGUAGUAGGCCUUUACCAAAGAUGGUUAAAGCUAUAAUGUGUAUGCAAGCUUGGCCUAAUGCUGACAUGCUAGGUAAGAAAAUGCAAAUGCUACUCUUUUGCUAUUAUCUGGUUUGUUGUUGCUACACUACUUUUUUUUUUCUUACACAAUUUACUUGUUGCAAUUUUAGGUGAGAACAAUUCAUCACUCUUUACUGAAUUUCAAACUUGUCUUGACGAUGAGGACAAACCAAUGGUAACUUGACAUUCGCAACUCUCAUCUUAUGUUUUGAUUUGAUUUGCAACUUUCGAAAAUAUCUUGUACUAUGUCCAUGAUCAGGAUGAGGAACUCUCCACUUGCAAUAACCAUUAGGCUUGUUGCUUGCCUCCAUGGAGUCAUAGAUAAAGAUAAUGGAGGAUUGAGAAGCUAGUGGAAUGGGCUCUUCAAGUCUUCAUCUCAUUUAUUGUGCUUACCAUGCUUGUGUUAAGAGUUAGAACUUUCGGCUUGUAGUCGUACUAAGUAUUGUCAUUUGUCCCAAUCAUACUUUUAGUUUAUUAAUUAUGUUGUCAGACUUGAGUUGAGAUGAUUGAAUCUGUCAAACUUACUGUGUUUAGACUUGAGAUGAUUGAAUCUGUUAAAAUUAUUGUGGUUUGUGUUGCUAUUUUGCUGUUGUUUUGCUUCUGUAAUGGAUGAUUGUAAUGAAUGAUUGUUGUCAAAAUUAUUGUGGUUAGUGCUGCCAAUGUAUUGUUGUUUUGUUGUUGUAUUGGAUGAUUGAUCUGUGAAAAGUUAUUGUGGUUUGUGCUACUAAUCUACUACCGCUUUGUUGUUGGUGGUCUCCAUGGAGAUCCCCAUGGGGAUCGGGUACCCGUGGAUUGCGGGGAUGAGGACUGUUCGCCCCCCCUCCCGCGCGAAGGUUGACGGGGCUAGCGGGGAUGGGCAUUAGUGGGGAUCGGGGCGAGGACGAUGGUGUGUCCCUCGGUGAUCCCCGUCCCCAUUGCCAUUUUGAAUCUCACGUGAUGAUCGGACUUGGGUUGGUGGAUUUGGAUCAUGUAACACUCGAAGAACCUGAGGGAUGUUCAGUUGAGUGGGAGUUCUUAAGUAAUAUGAUUAAUUGAACCCAUUAUCAUGAACAUAGUCUGAGUUGCCUUUGCAGAUUGUGUUGUAGAUCAAUGGCUCGCGUAGUAGCUCCCCUGAAUUUUAAUGCGUUUCUAGAGAAAGCUAAGCUGAAAGAUGAUGGAAGCAACUAUACGGACUGGGUCCGUAAUCUGAGUACUAUCCUCACGGUUUCGCAAAAGGUUUAUGUCCUUGAUGCACCGCUUCAGGCAGCACCCCCUGGUCGCGUCCGCAGAUGUUGUGAACAUCUGGCAAGCGCGUGUUGAUGACUACUCGAUAAUUCAGUGCGCCAUGUUGUAUGGCUUGGAAUCGAGACUUCAGAGGCGUUUUGAACGCCAUGGAGCAUAUGAUAUGUUUUAGGAGUUGAAGUUAGUUUUUGAAGCUAAUGCCCGAAUCGAGAGGUAUGAGACCUUUGAUAAAUUCUUUGCUUGCAAAAUGAAGGAGAAUAGUUCUAUCAGUGAACACAUACUCAAAAUGUGUGGGUACUACAACCAUUUGAGUCAGUUGGGAGUUGAGCUUUCACCUGAGACGAUCACUGACAGAGUUCUUCAUUCACGGCCACCUAGCUACAAGAGCUUCAUGAUGAAUAUAAUAUGCAAGGGAUGAACAAGUCAUUCUCCGAGCUAUUCGUGAUGCUGAAAGUCGCGGAAGUAGAAAUCAAAAAGGAGCAUAAAGUGUUGAUGAUGAAUAAAACCACUAGUUUGAAAAAGGGUAAGGGCAAGAAGAAGGGAAACUUCAAGAAGAACGGCAAGUCAGUUGCCGCUCCCGUGAAAAAAAAAACAAGGGUAGCCCCAAGCCUAAGACUAAGUGCUUCUAUUGCAAGGGAAAUCGCCAGUGGAAGCGGAAUUGCCACAAGUAUCUGGCCGAUAAGAAGGUUGGCAACGUCAACAAAGGUAUAUUUGAUAUACAUGUUAUUGAUGUGUACCUUACUAGCUCCCGUAGUAGUGCGCGGGCAUUUGAUACCGGUUCAGUUGCUUAUAUUUGUAACUCAAAACAGGAACUACGAAAUAAAUGAAGGUUGUCAUAGGAUGAAGUGACGAUGAGCGUGGGAAAUGGUUCCAAGCAGUGGCGCAUCUAGCAUUACAAUAAAGGGUAGGCUCAAAACAUCAAGUUUCUAAGUCUAAUUAGCAAUUGCAUUGUGAUUCUUGCAUGUAAAGCAUCUAAAUAUAAUUUUUUAAGUGGUAUGGUUAGCUGAAAUAUGUUUGUGAAGGUUAGGCUUAAGCCUGAUGAUGCCUACCUAGUAGACUCGCUUCAAGGUUGAUGUGAUCGCCGUCGACACGCUUGCUCUUCGAGUACCAUCGAAAUUAGUUAUGAACCUGAAUAAUUGUUAUUUGAUGCCCGCAUUGAGCAUGAAUAUUAUAUCUUCGAAGAGUGACAUCAACGUGGAAUCCAGGGACGUGUGGGAGUGGCGUCUGUGCGGCGUGCACAGACAGUGGAGGGGGUGGGUAUUUAGGAGAGGGUGGAGCCAAACUCGCGGACAAAGGAGGGAAGGGACUUCAGUUGUCGGCGGCUGGGUAAGAGGGCUUGGGGCUUUUGAGCAAGACUGCGGCUACGCGCUCGCAAGCAGAAGACCCCUCGCUCGGAGUCAGCAAAGGGUUGGGUGUUUGAUUUUUUCUUAGCGGAGGCUCAUUCACCAAAAUUUGGUCAGAGAAAAUCAAAAACGGAAGACGAGGGACAUUUCCUUUUUGUUAUGCAAAUAGAUAAGUGGGAAGGAAAGAACGACACAAAUGAUCGAGGAGACGAACAAACGAAAUCACUACAAACCAACCAUCACAACCGCACACUCCCCUUUUAGGAGCAGAGAUUUUAGAUGAGCCACCAAGCCAGGCUAAAUCAGCAAAUCUACUCUAAGCAACCAAGACCAUCAACGAGGGCCCAACUUUGGAGCACAAGCAUAAUAAUAUUUUAAACAGGGUGAACAAAGUCAUCAAUUAUUACACGUUUCCUCCAAACCUCAAGAGCAUAAAGAAGAGAAUCGUUCCACGGAAUAACAAUGCAUACUUCAGACCAUUUCUGACAGUAUGUGCCGAUAUCUGCUGUAGUCCGAUGUCGUCUUGAAGCUCGGUGUGAACUCAGCAAAGAAGCUUAGCACGGCGGCAAGGUUUGGCGCGCUGCUCUUGGCCACGGCUUCUUCCAAGAACAGGGAAGGCUGCACGGUGAUAACCUGGACCGAUCACCAUGUCAGCAACAAAGCAUUCGAUAAAGCUAGGAUGGUGCUAACUUGAGCACCGAUUUUCAAGGGAAUCAUCAACUCAGAAACUAACUAACUUAGUUGAAGUAAGUUGCAACGCAUAAAAGAAUACGUCAUAAUUCGCUGUUUUCAACUUGAUACAUGGAAGCAGCAACGAGAAGUACUCAACAACAAUGCAGCAUCAGUAGGGCAGGCGGAUACCUUGUAUUUUCGAGCAUAGCGUAGAGCCUCCAGGUAGUACCCGUCUUGGAGUAAUGCGGCCACGUAGUCAUGGUGCAGGCACCUCUCCCGAAGCAUGUCGACGCCCAGCUUCCUUGUCAGCAGAUGCUGCCGACCCAGUUCAAUGAGCUGAACUGCGAGUUCCCUGGACGGCUCUAGGAUCUGCAGGAAUUUUUCGAUUGGCAGAAUGAAACCAUACUUCUUUACCACGUUCACUUAGGAAGCUGAUAGUGGUCAAUUUUUUUUGUUUUACGUGGAAAAGGUCAAAAAAAAAAAUGGUACAAACUCUCACAGGUUACCACAGCAUACAAACAUAAAAGCCUAGUGAUUCGUGCUGACAAAAAUCUGAUGCCCAUGUUGAAUUUCCAUCUGUAAAAUGAACUGAUGGGCUCAAUUAGAGGCCUGUUGUAUGAAGCUCAAGUAUCCAGGGGGCAGGCGGGGGGUCAUCAGACAAGUCAGGUGCAGACUCAGAUUCAACAAUAGUCAAUGCUAGAUGCUAGUAGAGAGAGUCACAACUGAAACUUUACAUAAAUGAUAUUCAAAGACUAAUAGUACUACCUAAAGGAAACUGCAAACUACAGUUGACAUCUGUAUUUUCUUCAAAAGUGAAUUGCUUUGCUCGUUUCCAGUCAUGCUGAAUAGGACGUUAUUCAUGUAUUUUUCAUCCAGUGAUGGAUGAAAAAGGGUGUUGGAUUGGACACUAUUCAUACAAAUUUAAGGAUAACAAUGUGUUUGGAAUCAUACUCGUCAAUAUGUUUGGAAUCAUACUCGUCAAUAUAUUUAACCCUACUUGCACUAAUAGUGAUUUCAAUUUUCUUCGCAAAACAGUAAUAUAUUUAACCAUCAGCAUGCACGACAUGAUUGAUUGUCCUAGUGUACUUAAUGGUAAUUGCCACACAGAUCAUUAAUAAUGGUGUUGAAAUAACAAAGCCAAAAAGGUAAUAUAUUUAACCACCAGCACAUACGACAUGAUCGGUUUUGCUAGUCUAGUUAAUGGUAAUCGCCCGCUGAUCAUUAACAGUGGUGUUGGAAUAACAUACUGACCUUAGAUACAAACAUCAUGAUUGAUUGUGCUAGUCUACUUAAUGGUAAUUGCCACACUGAUCAUUAAUGAUGGUGUUGGAAUAACAUACUGACCUUGUUCGAUACAAACAGCGCUAUUUCAGCAUAACGGUUGCUGCAGGCCAACAAAGCAGUCAUCAUGACAUGAAGGUCGGGAGGAGCCUUCAGCCCAGCUUUUGACAGGCUGUAUACAAAACAGGACAAUACUUAGUGUUCCUUUUCUUUGUUGCUUCUAAGUUAAUUUUACAGAACACUAGAAGUACCUUCGUAAAAACUCCAUGAUGACAGCAAUAAGGUAUGCAGGAUCACCCAUCAUUUCAUCUUCAACAAGCAUAAAGACGGACUGGACCAUUUCAAUUGGUGAAAUUGCCACACUAGCAACAUGUGUUCCAUGCUGCAUUGAUGUACCAGAAGCCAAUGGUUGGCUAUCCUCACCUACAACCUGCGGUCUUUUGCUGGCAGCAUCAGAUAUCUGGGAACUUGAUGUUGCCUGACUUACCGCUCUCGAUGCACUGGCAAUACCAUCAGAAUCGGAGGAUGUGUUCAAAGAUGACCUGUCUACAUGUGCUGCCAGGUUGGCAGUUCCAUGCUCAACUCCUGAAUUUGAUUGUGACUGUCUACUCUCAACCCCACUUGCUGAAUCAGUGUUGAUAACAGGUCCAAUCAUGGUUCCAGGAGGUUCCUGAGAAACCACACGGGAGUCCUCAACAGGCUGAAAACUUGACUGUUGGUUUUGCUCAGACGUCCUCCUAACCCCAGCGGCACCGCCUCCCAUUUUCAUCAAACGGGAGUAUGAAUCAAGAACGAUAUCCAUUGCCUUUGCAACCAAAGUUAUUGGUCUCCUUUCCAAGAUGGUUGUUCGGACUAUAGCAAGGCUUAGUGUCUUAACCUGACGUAUGUUUCAAUAAGAAAUAUCAUGACAAUGGUAAUAGAUGGCAAAAAUUGAACUAUCAGAUGGGCAUAUCUACAAAGUAGUGAAAUCGUCUUUUACCAUACUCAGGUCAGACUUUCGUCUCUGAAGGAAUUCCAAAAUCGAAGGAGCAUCAGAAGUGCUAGCAGUAAUAGCCUAGAUUUCAAUUUACCCAAGUCAGGGAAAAAUUGUAUUUGUGUUGAGGAUGAAUUAAUCAAGGAAUAAUCCAUUGCCAAUUCCUUACCUCCAGAUCUAAAUGAAGUUUCCAGAGUAGCCCAUUCUCAGCAUCACAGAUGAGGUCAGGAAUGAGAAAGUUCCAACCUUCUCCAUAUAAAGUCCCGCCAUAUGCACUUGAUUGCUGAUCUGCAGGCUGUGCUGCUUGCUUACUAUUGCUGGGCAGUCCUCUCACAAGCAGUGGAAGUGGUGCAGAUAUUGGUGCGUAAGAAUCCAUAAAUACAUCAUAAAGUAUGACAACUUUUGCAUCAAUUUGAUGGACCAUGAUUAUAUUAUCAACUGCACUAACCGCAAUUCUGCUUGAAUAUACUGGGAGAGUACCCUGAAAUAACAAACUAUGAGUUAGGGGACUACGGUUUUUUCUUGACAGCAGAAAUAGAAGAACAUUCCCAAACAGGGAUUUCAGAACCUAGACCAGACUAAAGAGUUUUGUGAUCACCGACCAAGACACUCCUUAAACAGAACUUGGCCAAAAGCAGCAAUAAGGCAUUUUUCAGCCAAACUUAGAACAGUUUAUCAACUUUUCAGGAACGCAAGUGUUUACUUACAAGGGACAAACGGACAGCUAAGUUCUAUAAAAUAUGUAACUGUAAACAGACAUAUUCCCUCUGAUCUAAAACUAGUGUCCUGGUUUUAGUAGGAGGGAGUACAGUUUAAUGUAAACCAAGUAGUUUCCUACCUAACCAGGCCCAGGAUGUCAAACUGAACCACAACGCAUAGACCUAGUGUCAACUUUAGAUCCAGCUACCGCGGCCUUCUAAGGAAGGAAACAACAGACUGGAAUCGAAGCAUGUAACGUAAGCUUAGUUACAUAACAGUCUAAUCAUCAUGUCCUUAUAAGAACUAAUCCCUCCGUCCUAUAAUAUAAGAGCAUUACUACACAGUGUCAAAAACGCUCUUAUAUUAUGGGACGGAGGGAGUAUGUGAUUCCAACAGUUACCCUCGUUUUUACUAUUAAAGGGGGGUUGGGGAUUGUACAUCGCUUUUUGGUACAUUCUUGCUCUCCCUUGUGCAUCCUGUUAUGGAGCAUUAGUUGUGAAGGCGGAAAGUGGUGCCGUCAGCAUGGUGUGCUUGUGAUGUCUAUGUGCCAGGGUGUAUUGGGUCGGUUACAGAGGCUUGCAAGCUGUAACUGAAUCGGCGGCUAAUGGAUAAACAGAAAACUCGUCUCCUCCUCUCAUGCCUCUCCUCUGUUCUUUGUCUCAAGUCAGGCAACCACCGUGACCGUUAUUCACACGUCGGCAAUCAUACCGGCAAGUGGAUAGUUACACAAGAUAAUGAAAACAUAAGAGAUCCCCAUCACCUUAAUCUUAAUCACCUUAAAUUAAAGUCACUGCAGAAUAUGUUGCGAACAUGACGAAGGAUGGUGAUUUUCAUAAAUAUCUACUAUAUCUAAAUAGCUAAUCCCCACUACUAGGAAUUCUCUCGCUUCUUGUUGAGCCACAUCAUCCAAAUUAAUUUAGCCGUUGGAUAUACUAGAUCAGUCUAUAAUAGCCAUCAGAUCUAUACAUUAAGAGCCACUGCACCAACCACAUGCAGUAACCAACACAUGCAUGCAAAUGCAUGUAGUAACUGACGCCUAAAGGUGUUUUAAUGUACAAAAAAAACUGACGUAUGCAUGCAACUCAUACUUCAGUGCUCUGAAAGAAAGUGACACAUGCAUGCAUUUUUUUCCGCCCAAUUUUGCACUUAUACAUAGAGAUGUAUAUUUAUUAUUCUUCAUUUAUGAACUAUUGAUAAACAAUUAUCCUGCUAUAGGAGAAACCAUAAAGACACUAGCUAGGUUAAUUAGUUCAGCGCAGUUUUUAUUUCAUACAAACUCCUGCAGCAAGGCACGGGGCAUUCGUGUAGUUAAAUAAAUGCUACUGAACUUAUCAUCGGAAUCUAGAAACUGAAACAGACACCUAACUUGGAAAGAAACUAUCGGAACAUGACAUGUACUCCUAUCAUCGGAGUAUUUCUUAAGAAAAAGAAACUGGAGGGAAUCGGCUCAUAUAGUUCAAACCUGUUGUACAACAGCAUCACGGUAAAAUCUGUACAGGUUCAAUGCCAUGCCAACUCUAUCCAGCUGCAAGCAGUAAAUCCUACCAUACCUGCCAAAUUUGAGAAAUGUUAUUGGAGGUUUAUCUGAAAUUUGCUAAACAAAAUAAAGAGAGGGACAUAAAGCAUACACUGUUACAAUGUGAACAUCGGCAGCAGCUAGGACAGGCUUGUUAUUUGCUUCGGAUUUAGACAUCACCAUCUCAAACUUGGGUAAUUUGACGAUCCCACCAGCAGAAAACUGUUAGAACCAUAGGUAAACGUUAGCAUACAGACUUAGAUGUUAAAUCAAUGACCAACGUCAAUUUGGUGGAAAUAGAAAGUAAGUUUAAAUUAAAGAUCCAAGUCUGCACUCUACUACACACAGAUUUCCUUAAAAUGUCUCCAGUUCGGAAUCGGCUUUAAAGUUUAAAGCGCAACUACAGCAUCAGCCCAGCAGGACGAAAAUGAGCAGGUUAAGAGAAGUAAAAGAAGUUAAAUACCAACCAACAUUUAUAAAAACAAUCCUCAUCAGAGUUGUUCCUAUGGGGUAUAUUGUCUUCAAUGGGUGCAUAAUGAAUUACCUGAUAUCCAGUGAACAGCGUACAUUGCAUUCCAGAUGCAAGAAGAAGCAACCUGCUUUCAUGAGUGUAAAGAUACCAGGUGGCAUUGCACUUUUUUGACUCCACCAACCGAAGAGCAUUUGAUUGAGGCUCAUAGACAAGCAGAUCUAGCCCACUGCAACAGACACAUUUCACAGAAAAUGAACCAAAGAACAAGAUAGCUGCCUUACAUAGAAUUAAAAUAUGAAUGAAGUCAGUCCCGAAAUAAGAACAUGACUAAUUGGUCCAUCUUACAAGUGCUCCCGUGGCUGGUGGGCCUGACAAUAGGCUAAUUGGAUAUUUGGAUGCAGCACAUAUAAAGUUUGUGUUAUUCAUAUUGUAGCAGAAACACACUUACGAACCUUGUUUUUAUAAUUAUGACAUCACAAGUGGGACAGUCAGUCCAGAAAAAUCCCAGUAUGGUUUCAGAAUCUGCUCUGCACUUCUUACUACAGCCUUCCCCUGUUUCUCUAUUUCUAAACUCAACUUCAUGACUGGAUCGCUGAAUCCCUAUGGCUUUCUGAUCCAGAGAAAAUCGAACUGAUAAGAUGGGGCCUUCAUUAAUUGGAUCAGAGUUUGGAGGCCCAGAUUGAGUAGAUGAAGCUAUCUUCCAGUAUAAUAUCUGCAGCAACGUAACCAAUUUACUUUGUAAUAACCAAGUUUCUAGCGGAAAUGCAAAGUCAACUAAUUAGAUAUUCAAAUACCCGGUCAGCUGUUGGGGCUACAAGAAACUUAUUCGCAUCAUCAUAGAAUAGCCCCUUAAUAUCUGGAAUGUCACACCGUAGUGGAGGAUGUUGUACAUAAGCAUGAGAGAGCGCACCAGGACUGGUCAAACCUCCUUGCAUCUGAUUGCACACAAUUCAUUUGUUAUUUCCAGCGAGUCAAUUAGUGAGCUUGCAGUUUACCAACAUGAUACAAAAGGGAGGCGCUGUCAGCAUGAUGCACAACUCUUUUUCUUAUUACAUGGUUAUAAAGCACCAUGCUAUCCAUAUUUUCUUUGAGUCGUAAAAUACAGAGCUACUCACCUGAGAGCACACUGAUCACACUGAAAGGUGGUUAAUACCAAACCAAACACCUAAAACUUCAAGCCUUAUUCUUGACCUUUGAGGACAGAGUAAUGAAAGUUAGGACAGGAAGAUAGAUCCACUUUCAAGCAAGAAACGAAUACACAGAUUGUAAGCAGUCUUUUAUAAACCAAAUACAAAUUUAAAUCUGUAAGCCUAUGAAACGUAAAAAAAAUGGAAGAACUGCAUAUGAAUUGGCAAAAAUUAAUUAAUUUAGGGACUUUAUAUGAAUCAACAAAAUUAAUUAAUUUAGGAACUGCACACUGACAGUCAACUUUUUUUCCAAUUGGCCCACAGUCAAAUUUCUGGACCAUGGGACCAAGAUUAGCCCUCAACUCUUUAGACUUCUCUCACCCUGCUCUCACCUCCCGAUCAUCCCAUACUCACUGCCACCCAUUCCCCAAGGUCCGCUGCCCCCUGCAUCACAAGAGUUGCUCUGGCGCAUGAGGGUUGCCCUCCAGCACCAACACCGACCAUUCCCUCAUCCCCACUCUCUCAGUGGUCGCUAUCUAAUCCAUUGCCCCCGCCAUCAUCCAUGUUGCCGCAGCUAUAUUACCGCUGGAUCCGCCUCCUAGCAUCAACCAACAUCUUUCUCACCCAGAUCAUCCCCCCCCCCAAUGUUCUUGACAUGCCCAGAUGACCUACCAUCUCCACCGGGUCAUCCCUUUAAGCCCCAUGGGUGCAGAGAGCCACCAUCCACUCCCAAAACCUCGCCAGCGGUGGUGGAAAUGGCAUAGUGUCGUAAGAGGAAGAUGGACGGAGUACACAGCAGCAGUGGAACAAAAAAGGAAACAAGUAAGAGGAGGAACAAAAGUUGGUAGAGAAGUUGAUUGUUGGCCAAAAAGAAAACAGUGAUUUAUUUAGAGCAACCGAAGGGCAUUUCCAAUUGAAUUGGGUGCUUAAUUGUACAGGUGAAAGUUGUAACAGUAUGAUGUGAUACAACCAAACUAUUUUCUUAGUAAUGGAAAAGAUUACCGCAGUUUGCAUGCAUUGUCUGAGUGCUAGAAACUCCUUAGAACACAUAUUAUGUUCAAUCUCAGGGACCUUUGCUGCUAUGCAUCUCCCAUAAUCUUUUGCCUGCAUAGCAUAGCUGAUAAAUAGAACACUCGCGACAUAAAAAAAAAAGAUCAUAAGGUCAUUGAGUAUUCACUCAUCUUCACCAAGCCAGUUAGCACUAGCAAUUUGAAUUGCAUAUGGUAUCACUAGUACAGCAAGUUACACAACCCCUCAGCGUCAAAUUAUUUCUUUGGGGCGAAUUGAGUGUAGCUCAGAUGGUUAUGUUCUUUGUGGUGGAACCAGCCCACCUAGGUUCAAGUCCUAGACUUGGCACGGGUGCUCGCAUUUUCCUGAAUUUAUUCCAGGCUUUUCGGCGAUGUUCAUUCAAUGGGAGACAUGUUCUCAUCGACUAAGAUGUGCAUGUGGUGACUUCAUCUAUCUCAAGACUGGCCGGCUCGGUCUCCCGGAGAUGCUUAUAAGGGUAGGGUGCGUUUGUGUGCGUUCAUAGGAAUGAGUGUAUGUACGUCUUUGUGAGUGUCUAAGUACGUAUUCUGUUUCUCAAAAAAUAAAAUGGGAAUGUGUAUGGAUACUUUCAAUUCACACUCACACUCCGACUUAGCUACCAUUCAUAUGAUGCCAUCUGACUCAGUGUAACAACAUGAAAAAUCGGCAGCAAAAAUUAGGGAUAAUAAAUUGAAGUGCGCUUCUUAAAUAUAAUCACCCAAGGGCAGAGUAGGGUGCCAACUAAGCAGCAGACAUCCUCCUUGUGGCCCAAAAUCAAAAUCAGGACUAAGCUGACGCGCACACGGAUCAGUACUACGUGGUACCUACCAGGUAUAACAACAAGCAAAGAGACACCAAUUGCAACAGUUUAUCCAUCACCCAUCAUGAUCUUCCCAGCAGCAACAAACCAAUCUGCGAGGGGAAACCUCACAAAUCCACCAAAUCUACCAUGACCACUUGCUGCUGACCAAAAAAAACGACCACCACAAGCGCAAUCUGAUCCCCUAUCCUGCACCGGCGUACAGCAACCUAGAGACCGCAGCAGGUAGGGUAAUAACGAGCGAACCAUCACACUUGUCGGCAGGUGAAAAGGGGGGUGUUAACGAGUGGACGGGCGAGCGAGCGGGCACCUGGGACGCGCAGGUGGCGAGGAUCCGGGUCAACGCAGAGGGGGCCGCCGGCUUCCGUUCCUUCAUCCAAACCCCGGCCAGAUCACGCGACCAUACCAGUGGGGAGAGGGGUAAACAGCAGCGGCAGCAGGGAAAUUCGAGGGGGGCUUCGAGCUGGGGGGGCGGUCGAGCGAAGAGGGGUUGGGAUUUGAGUCUCCUGGUUGGGGGUGGUGGUGGCGCGAGCUCGUACCGUCGUCUUCUUCACCGGCCGGUCCACGAUGAGGCAGGGAUGGAGAAGAAGGUCCGUCCGGGAGAUGGAUUCGCUAGCAGUCGAGAUCGAAAAAAUUCACGGCUCGGCUCGGCUCGGCGCGGUGUCUGGGCCUGGGCCUGGGCAUGACGCUGGGCCGAAUGAUCCGCUGUACCAGGAAUAGCCCGGCCUGAACCCGAAGCCCAAUGGCCCUGAAAGCCUGAAUUGCCUCCAAAAGGGUUUUAUAAGAAAAUAUAGGUAUGGUAUGCUAUAUUGAUGCAUUCACCUAAAAUACUUCAAAUAAUAGUAUAUUUUUAAUAUGAAAAGUGCAACCUUAGUUGUUUCGGGUCGGGUCGGGUCGAACUCAGGUUUUCGGGUUCGGGUCACACGACUUUGUACAUCCAAAAUAAUGGAGAUAAAUAUAAUUACUCCCCCACACUAUUAUUUCCUCCGUUCUUAAAUAUAAGUCUUUAUAGAUAUUUCAUUAGAGGACUACAUAAGGAGUAGAAUGAGUGAAUAUACACUCUAAAAUAUGUCUAUGUACAUUCAUAUGUAAUCUUUUAAUGAAACCUUUAAAAAGACUUAUAUUUAGGAACGGAGGGAAUAGGUUUCUGAUAGAUCCUCCUCCCUAAUCUUCAGUUUUGUAUCGGUACGAGACGUGCUACGAGCCAUUAGAUUUAUUGCCAUCGAAAGGCGCCCUCCAUCAUUUCAAGAGAGGUAAUGUUUGCGACUUUUUUUUGCAAAAUAGGUCAUGUUGAAAAGAAAAACUUUUGCAACAGAUGUUUUUCUUCAACAUAGCAUGUGGCGUGUGGGAGAUGGUGUCGGUAGCUGCAGGACGUUCAGAUGGCGGUGGCCACGCCCGAGGCAGACGGUGGUGGAAGAUGGCUGGGCUGAGGACGGUAAAGACGAGAAGCACAUGGGACAUCGAAUCACUCAGGGGCAACGAUACCAUGGUUGCGCCUGCUCCCUUGUGCGUGCAAGCAUAGGAAUGCGGGCUAUGAAGAAAGUUGGAGGUAGUGGCUUGGUCGACGAAGGUGACCUCACCGACGGAGCGCGAGUUGCCGAGAGCGGUCGUCGUGAUGCAUGGCGACAUGUUGUGCCUCUCCUCUCGCGGCGCUACUCACACGUCUCCAGUGUAUCUUUUUUUUAUUCCAUGUUGUUAUAUUAUUAAUCUUGGAUGCUUUAUAUGCAAUAAUGUGCUAUUCUAUAUCACUUUUGGGGACUAACCUAUUAACCCAGUGCCUACUGUUAGUUCCUGUUUUCCGUGUUUUUGACAUAUGAGAAAGUCAAUACCAAACGGAGUCCAAACACGAUGAAACUUUUUGGUAAUUUUUCUGGACGAUUUUGGACCCAGGAAGCUUCGGGAGGAGGCCACACGACGAACAAGGAGGCGACAAUCCUGGAAGGUGCGCCCUAGGGGGUAGGGCGCACCCACCAGGCAUGUGUCCCCCUCGCAAUCCCCCCUUGCCUAAUUUCACUUCUUUAAAUCCCAAAAUAUUCCGAAGACACCAUAAGAGCAACCACAAACACUUUUUCCACCGCCGCAAGUCUCUGUUCCGACGUGAUCCCAUCUGGAGACAUUUUCCGGUGCCCUGACGGAGGGAGAAUCAAUCACGGUGGUCGUCUGCAUCAAUCUUGUUGCCUCCAUGAUUAUGUGUGAGUAGUCCACCACAGACCUACGGGUCCAUAGCUAGCACCUAGAUGGCUUCUUCCCUCUCUAUGAUCUUCAACACCAUGUUUGUCGCGAUUCCCGCGGCGAUCUAUCCGAUGUUAUAUUCUUUUGCGGUGUGUUUGUUGGGAUCCGAUGAAUUGUGGAUUUAUGAUCAUAUUAUUGAUUGAAAGUAAUCGAGUAUUUUAUGAAUUCUAUUAUGCAUGAAUUUUCUAGCUUUGUAAUUCUCUCCGAUAUAUCUGUCUAGUUUGGUCAACUAGAUUGAUUUAUCUUAACUAGGAGUGGUGCGUUGUAAUGGGUCCAAUCUUGCGGUGCUCUAUAUCCCAGUGACAGAAGGGGACAAGACACAUGUUUCUAUUGUUGCCAUUAAAGAUAAAACGAUGGAGUCUAUUCAUAUUGUUUGAGUUUACUUUGUCUACAUCAUGCCAUCUUGCUCCAAGCAUUACUAUGUUUGUCAUGAACUUAAUACCUAGAGAGGCAAGCAUAGAAGCACUCUUGAAGUGGAGUAAUAGUGGUAGAUGUUGGAUUGUAUCGGUCUACCUGUUUAUGAACGGGUGCCUAUAUACGUGAUCAUUGUCGUGAAUAACAUGUGAUAACUAUGCGCUAUCCCGUCAAUUGCCCAACAAUAGUUUGUUCACCCACCGUGCGUUAUGUUCAAGACAGAGGCCUCUAGCGAAACCUAUGACUCCCGGGUGUACUUAAAAAUAUUUACUAGGACUCUAAAAAUACCUUGCUGCAACUUAAUUACUUGUUUAAACUUUUUAUAUUUACAUCAUCUAUAACUAUCAGAACUAAUCCUUUCAAGUAAUGAGUUCAAGGGGCUUGGCAACCCUUUUGCCCGCAUUGGGUGCAAGUGUUUGAUUUUAUGUGCGUAGGUGCUGAUGACGAGAGUUUGUAUUGCUUCUCUUACUGGUCCGAUAACCUUGGUUUUCACUGAGGGGAGUAAUUAUCUCUACUAUAUUGCUUCACCCUUCCUCUUCGGGGGAAUACCCGAAUUGCCCUGAUGAAACUUUUCUUGUUGUUCUUUACAUUCAUAUUUGCAAAUAAGAAGUACCAAGAAUUGCUUUGAGGAUGCUUGAACUGCAUGUUUGAUGUGUGAUGUUAAAAAACAAAAACUUUUGUUGUAGUGUUUGAAUUUUUUUAUUUCACUGGAACAUGGAAAGUUUCAAAAAAAAUACGUACUACUGUCAUACAAUUUUUUUAUCACGUACUAAUUUUUCAUGAUUUUUGGAUAUAUAGAAGUACAUGUUUUAAAUUGAUUUCUACACACUGUUUUGUUUGGACAGAUUGAUGUCAUAGUUUUGUUAUCUACUUAUCAUAGAGUUUUCAUGGCCUUGGUAAAUAUAAAUUGAGGAAAUGAUAGUAUACAGUACAUAAUAUUUGAAAAUUGUUAUGCAAAUUGUCUUGUUAGUACAUAAAGUGUUGAUAUAUUAUCAUGUGUACUAACCUAUCUGACAAGUUGAUGGAGAUACUACCCCUGGGUAUACCAAAGCGGAGAUAAUCCGUCUCCAAGACAUUUGAGGCCGCAUGCCCCCUCCCUCUGGGCCGUUUGGCGGCAGCUGGCUGCCUAGCCGAUGUGCACGAGGCCGACUGGCGGGAUUUGGCCUGGCUGGAUGGCCCGUCGCCAGCUGGACGGCCGGCUCCCGUCCCAUCCAACCGUACUCCCGUUUGGCGACAAGACCAGACGUAUGACGCAAAGACAUUCGUGGCGGUAGUACGCGUUGACAUGCUCGACGUGGCCACGGGCGCAAUGAUGUGGGGGUCAGCGAGGCUACACGACCCCGAUCACCGCCGAGGUUGACCGGGCGAGACGACACUUGUGACAGCCCGAGACCGACGUUCCAGAAGAUUCCCAUUUCUUUCCGUUUUCGUCGUGUGUCUGUGUUCUUUUAUCGCAUCAUCAUCGCAUCAUGCGCAUCAUCAUCGCAUCAUGCGCAUCAUCAGCAUCCCGUUGCCGCCCGUUUUCAAAACUUGCAUUCGUUAGUAGUUGCCGGUUCUCGUCGUUGUCCGUUCCGAGCCCGACCGCACACGCACGCGCCCGCGGCAUCGUUCGAACCCUGUUUUAAAAGUGUGCGCAAAGCUUUCUCUGAUCAGGGUGAAACUUGGCAUGCGGUCGUAAGUAGUUAUAGCUAGGCCGCGUGUCGAAUUUCGUCGCGAUCGGAGUCCGUCUGGUACCCGAACGGUCGACCGUAGCGGCACCGUAUUCGGUCUAUCGUCAGACAUUUUCCGGUAUUUUAUAUCUCGUUGCUGGGCUGCCCGUUUUCCCUCUCAUCUCCGCCUAGCCCCUCUGCACAGUGCACCGACCCUACACGCAACCUAGUCUGAAAACCUCCCGGGACCCGAACCGGGCGGAUGUGACCGUUGGAUCCGGAUCAACCCCGUUUUACCCUAAACCAUCACCGGUUUUACAUUUGGAUACUCUAACCUAUAUUUCUCGACCGUCCGAUCGAAUCGGAGGGUCCAGAUCAGCCCUAUCCAAACCCACCUACCUAAUUUAAGCAGUCAACCCUAGAUCCUAGGCCGAAUGUCCCAUCCAUCCGUUGUCCGCCGCCACUGUCUUCAUCGGGAUCCACUCCAGAUCCAAUCCCCCAACCAUUGAGCCCCUCCUGAUCCACUUGCAGCAGCCCUGCGCCGGCCUCCCGCGCAUGAGCACGAGCUCGUCUCCGAGCUCCUCCCUGGCUCCCUCCCCUAGCUGCUGGAGCUAGCCACCGUGGAUGCCCGUGCAAGCGCCGGACUGUCGCCGGCGAGCACCGCUGCCCAGCCUCGUCGGUCUAGCAGGGGAGCGUCGUGCCCUGCCCUCUCUCUAUCUUUAUUCUUCCCUGCCCUCUCUUUCCUUCUUAUCUGAAACCUCUUGUGUGUCUUGUUUGCUUCAGGCAACAGCAACCGUCAGGGCCGUCAACUCCGGCAGCCUCCCGUCCGCUCCGCCUCAUGUCGAACCACGCCGGUGAGAUCGAGUUCCCGCGCGUGCUCCUUCCUUGCGACCUCUCCUUCCCUCUCCUUCCUCAUCUAAUCCUUCUCCUCUCUUCCUGUUUUUCCCCUGUCAGGAACUGAGCAAAGGCUGCUGCAGCCCCGCCAUGGAUGCCCUUGCCGCCUCGCAACUCGCCGACCGCCGUCGUUCCCCAACGGAUCCGGUCGGCCCUUGGUAGAUCAGCCCAUUCCCGGCCUCCGUCAGCCCCGCCGUUUCCCCUAAGACCCGCACCGGAGAGCUGCCUGCAGCGCCGCGCCGCCGCAAGCAGAGCCAAGGCCGACCUGCAGUUUUAUUCAGGUGCAGUUAAAUCCUUACGAUUCAGUUUUUAUUCAGGUUCAGUCCGCUCUGGUUCUUGUUCAUCUAGAUUAGGGAUCUGUUUAAUGACGAGUGUGCCGCGAUAGCCGAGCUGGUUACCACCACGUAUUUGACCCAUGCGAUCUGGGGUUCGAAUCCCACGCUCCCCGAUUUUCCCUUUUAGUUUUUUUUGUUGAUUUAUGUUCGCUAAGGACCUGUUAUCUGGCGCAGUGCUACCAUGUUAGUCAUAACCAUAGCGCUAGCACACUGGCUUGAGCCUUCUAGUGAGACCCAGGGGUCCUGGGAUCAAAUCUCANNNNNNNNNNNNNNNNNNNNNNNNNNNNNNNNNNNNNNNNNNNNNNNNNNNNNNNNNNNNNNNNNNNNNNNNNNNNNNNNNNNNNNNNNNNNNNNNNNNNGAGUUCAUGAUGGACAUGGCCUUGGAGGAGAUGCCGAUGUCGGGGUGGACCUGCUUGAGCACCUUGAAGAUGUAGAUCUUGUAGGUCUCCACGCUCUUCUUGCCCUUCUUCUUGCCCUUCUUCUCGCCGCCGCCCUCCUUGGAGGCCGUCUUGCCCGCCGGUAGCCGCUUCUCGGCCUUGGGCUUCUUGCCUGCCGGGGUCUUCUCUGCUGCCUUCUCCACCUUGUUCUCGGCGGCCGGCUUCUUGUCUGCCUUGGGGGCCAUGGCUGCGGCUGGAGCUUCGGAGGUGAGAGAGGGAGUGAGGUGUUUCGCUCGGAGGUGGGGAAUUGCAGAUGUGAAAUGAGGAUCGGGCCGGCGAGAUUAUAUGGUGGGGAGGAGGUCGCGCUGAUUGGUGGAGAGGCCGGUGCCCUGGAUCGGUAAGCUGAAGUGAUCCCAGCCGUUCACAGAUCCAGGGGAUGGACGGGCCGGAUGCGCUUCGUAGCGGAUUGAUGACCUGGCUCAAAUGGCCGGCGGGAAUUUUAUGACUCUCCACGUACUGCACCUAGGUCCAAGCUACCGGUGAUACACAGUUUGUGUGUGUGGGAAACCGGUGGUACAAGGACAAGGAUGGUAUUACCACAUUUUUUAAUGAAUAAAUGUAAAAUAUCUGGAUUCCAUGCAGAGCCUAAGGAAAAUGAUGGUACCACAUUUUUGAAUGAGUGAACAAAAAAGGUCUCUACUCUUAUAUACUCCCUCCAUUUUAAAACGUAGCGCAUAUUUUAUUUUCUAAAAGUCAAAAAUGCUUAUGUGGUCCAAAGUUUAUAGAAAAAAUAUUGACAUCUAUAAUAUCAAACUCAAACAAAACAAAUAAAAAAUGAAUCUCAUGAUCGAUAUAAUGAUACUAAUUUUGCACUACGAAUAUUAUAUUUUUAUCUAUGAACUGUGUCAAACAUAGGCUUGUUUGACUUUAAAAGAAUAUAUUAUGCACUGCAUUUUGGAAUGGAUGGGGUAUAGAUCAUCUUAUAGAGAUUUGAGUUACAGUCGUUGACAGCUAAUUCACGCUCACUAAUAUUACCACACAAGUUAUCGCGGCGGUCGUCUUCCCUUAUGUAUGGUUGAUUCAAUUUGACAUGUUUCUGAAAUAAUAAUUUUACUUUGGACAAUGUUAGAGAUUAUAAUGGAACGAGUUCAUUUUAAAGGACUUACCAAUAUUGUACAUUUAAAUAUCUUGUUAUUUUGAAUGAUUGAAGGUAGUUGAGCAAAGUCAUUUGUGUGUUUGGUUAAAGGGGUGGAUAGGUUGUUGUGGUGAACUCUAUGAUAGAGCUCCUAGCACUUAUAGAUGGCAAACAAUAUUUACAUCAAGGCAAGAGAGCUUCAUCUUGGUUCUCCAUCAACGCAAGAGAACUUCAUGUGCGAGUGCAUAAUAUAUGAGAGACGCUCAACAUUUUAAUCAUAUAUUGGCUCUUUUAUUAGACCAUCAAUAAUGCAUAUGAGAGACGCUCGACAUUUUCAUCAAGGUCUUCUCCUUUCAACGACUCAAAGAAAAAGAAAAGAAUUUUAGAGAAACACACCGAAGUUUUUUCUGAAGUUUUUUUUUAAGAAAACAAACAAACAAUGGAAAAAACGUAAAGACUAUUUACAAGCGAAUCUCCUAACAAGCAAAGGAAAUAAUUUUUGGUUUCGUUUUAAUACUACAACUAAUUAAUCAGGAAAGAAAAAAAACUAGAAAUAAUUUUGGAUUUUUCAAAAAAAAAUCAAACACACAAUAAGAAAGCGGAAAAUAAAGCUAACAUGGAUAUACNNNNNNNNNNNAUGAACACCGACAAUUUAUAUGAAGCGUGUGAACAUGAAUGUAAUAUCGAUGGAAAAUACGUACUCCCCGAGCCUAGGCAUUUGCCUAACUUGGUGGUCACCAUUCGUAGUAGCCAUCUGGUCCGGAAAAGUACUGAGGCUGAGGCACGUGAGCAUCCCAUGUGUGAGCAGCGACUUUCACCUCAGCCAGCUCCUUUCGAUAAGCGAUUAUGUCGACUGACAAAUGUUGUAUAUGUUUCUGGCAUGAUAGUUAAACAAAGAGGGUGCAUGCAACACAAUAAGGUCAUGAGUAUUCUUGAUGUAUACUAAGUUAAAACAAAUAUGCUGCGGGGGGUAGGUUCAUGAGUAAACUUAUGCUCUAUCAUGGACUGGUGAUCUAGAUAAACCUUAGGCAAUAAGUAAUCAGUUUGGCGUAUGUCCACUUUAAAGUGCCUUGCUAAGCGAGUGGCAUAAAUACCACAAUGAACCUUGCCCUUGGUUCGGUUAGGUGCAAGUGGUGUACGACAAUAGCUCCUAGGUUGUAACUGCUAUCACCAUAAAGCGUGCGAUGCAAUAUAGAAAUGGUGGGGGCCCUAAGACCACCACUCUCACUCGUAGUAGUUAUACAUUCCCCAUGGAUACAACAAAGUAAUGCAUAGACAAGAAAUAUAAACUGGUCGCCCUAGCAUUUGCUACGCCCCUAGUUUCUCCCAAAUUUAAGGUAGGGAUGAAGCUCUCCAACUCCUUAAUUUAGGGUCACGCAUUGCUCUGUCAAAAGGAAGCAAUCACAUUUCACAAAUUUCACAUAGUGGUAUAUCAUAAUGCAUUGCAUAUAAGUCAAAGUGUACCAUGGGAGUAUCAGGCCCAUUGUUAAAAAAAAAGUUUUGCACAAAGGAAUUCAUACGGAGAUAGUAUUGGUCACACUUAUCCGCAAGGAAAUUGGUCAACCCGACAUUUGCAAUGAAUUGCAUGAACUCUUGAUGAAAACCUGCCUUGCUCAUGAAAGGGAUGUGUAUCCAUUCACAUGGCCUAACUUUCGUGUUGCGAAAGAUAUGGAUGCCAUGGUCCUGGAUCCUCCCAAUAACUCCUUUGGGGCUUCGGCUUGAAGAACCUCUCCUUAGGAAAUUCAUUUUUCUACACAAAAAAUUCUCAAUGGGGAUAUGCAUAUCCUCGACAAUAAGGGUAUAAUACUUCUUCUUGACAGUAGGAAGAGAAAUUUUAGAACCUCCAAUGGUGACUGUGGCAAUUGGCUCAGUGAUAUUUAUAUUAUUAACCAAAGUUUGCUUCUUCGGAAAGUGCACGGUAUGUUGUUUUCCAUUUAUAUGAAAAGUGACUUUGCUUUUGUUGCAACCAAUAACAGCCCCUGGAGUGUUCAAAAAGGGUCUACCAAGGAUGUUCAACAUGUUGUCAUCCUCAGGCAUAAUAAGAAUAAAGAAGUUUGUUAAAAUAGUAACAUUUGCAACCACAANNNNNNNNNNNNNNNNNNNNNNNNNNNNNNNNNNNNNNNNNNNNNNNNNNNNNNNNNNNNNNNNNNNNNNNNNNNNNNNNNNNNNNNNNNNNNNNNNNNNNNNNNNNNNNNNNNNNNNNNNNNNNNNNNNNNNNGGGGGGGAGAACGCUUUAGGAAUGACAUUAUCCAAAUGUGGUUUCGAUGUAUGAGCAUCGAUGUCAUCGUGGACAAUAUAAAUGUAAUGUCAUGAGAAAUUAAAAGACUUGAAUCUAUUAGAAUUUUAAGUCAUAGUUUUUCCGUUAAGAGCUUGUGUUAUAUUCUCUCGUGUUGUAACAUACGGAUUCAUUUGCUACUAAAACAAAAAUACGAACGAACAUAAGGCUAAAAUUUUAAUUAUUUUGGAAGCAAGGGAGAAUAUAUGUAGAUAUUGGAAGUUUGUGGAUGGAUUUAGAAUGCGCUGGCUUUCCACAUCAAGUAAAGCUUGGUCCGGAAAAGAGAUUUUGAGCGCAUCGCAAAGGACGAAUGCGGCUUGAUUGCUUGAAUUGAGACGGGUGGGACCCACCUCUCCCACCGUCCUACGUGGCCAAGGAAGACCUUUCUUCAAGUCAUCGUUCCAAGAAAAUUCAUUCCCCCCCCCUGCCAUAAGUGGCACGCGCGCGCGCACGAGCUGCGGCGGCGGGCGGGCAACCCGCUCACCAUCGCCGAAGCUUCUCAGCGCGAAGCUCACCGGGAAGCCGACCAAAAUCCCCCGGGAAAAAAAGAGAGCUCUCACGGCCGGCGCCAUCUCCAACUAGUACAAAUCUACCCGCCAAAUCCACUCCCCAACCCAAUCCAUGCAGCAGCAGCAGCAGCAGCGCACCGGCGAUUUAGGGGGUCUUAUAUAUUAUAAAUAGGAAGCGCUCUCGCCGGUGACAAACUCGGUCAUGGCGGCAGUCGGAGCGGCACCAGUGCUCUACCAACAGCAGGCGCAGGCGGUGGGCGACGCCUGCUUCUUCUCCUCCAUGUCCUCCUACUUCUCCAACGAGGCAAUCAGCUCCUCCUGCUCCAGCCCAGCCUCCAGCUUCUCCGCCGCGCUGGGCGCCACGCCGCCCGCUGCGCCGGCGAUCAGCCCCGACCCCGCGUCGCAGUUCGACAUCUCCGAGUACCUCUACGGCGACGGCCCGUUAGCCGCGCCGCUGGCGCCCGUUGGCGCUGCUGUUGCAAGCUCGGCGACUGCGGUGCCUGCGAGGAGCGCGGCCGAGUCGGCGGCGGCGGUGGAGAGGCCGCGGACGGAGCGCAUCGCGUUCCGCACGAGGACGGAGAUCGAGAUCCUCGACGACGGCUACAAGUGGCGCAAGUACGGCAAGAAGUCCGUCAAGAACAGCCCAAACCCAAGGUUGGUACUUAAUUAUAUAUCCCCAACCUCAAAACCAAACACGAUCGAAUGAAUCAUCAACCGUCUCGGCACAUUGCAAUCUGGCGUUCUGAGUUCUGACGAGCGAGCAUUCGGUCUGUGCGUGCAGGAACUACUACCGGUGCUCGACGGAAGGGUGCAGCGUGAAGAAGCGGGUGGAGCGGGACCGGGACGACCCGGCGUACGUGGUGACCACGUACGAGGGCACGCACAGCCACGCCAGCCCCAGCACCGUCUACUACGCCAGCCAGGACGCCGCCUCCGGCCGCUUCUUCGUCGCCGGCACGCACCCGCCGCCAGGCUCCCUCAACUGAGUAGACUAGCCACCAACGACGGAGCACGUCGAGAUCAGCACGUACGGGGCUUCCAUCUUGGGCAAGCUAGCCAGCUCGGGCCUCGGUGCCGUAGCAGCCACAAGUUCGUAGUUAAACUAGUGCACUACUGGUUCAGGUUCGGUUUCCCGACUGUAGUGUUGUGUACUGCGGUGUGCACUGUCGGCUCGAUCACCAGGUUUUAUCCCUCGAGCAUAAUUAGUGGAUCGAAAGAGCCCGGCCGGGGAACGUAACUCAGUCCACUACUAGUGCUGCCUACUUAACCGUGUAAUAAAAAUACCCAUGUGCCGUUUCCCUCAGCCCAUAGGCCUCCGAGAGUUCCAUGUUUAAGCACCAACAUGCAUCAAAGAGCAUCUAAAAAAAGCAUCAAAGAGAUCCAUGUAGAAAAAGUUUGUCGUAUUACCCGACAGAAAAAAGUUUGUAGCAUUUUUUUGGUAAAUAAUUUUGGAAGGUUUUACACAUGGUACCUAAAAUUGGCAUUUUAAAAGAUGAAAUAUAAGUUGUUAAGUAAAAGGAUGUGAAAUGAACGUAUAUUAGUGCCUAGCAGUGUAAUAUGAAGCUACACUCCAAUUUUCAGGUUAAAAUGAUGAAUAAACUUUGAUGUAGUUAAAUCUCCAUACGCCACCUUUGAAUGAUAUGAGACCUCUAGAGAGAUUCUUGCAUUACGAAACAAUGUUUAGUCCAACUUUUAUGUAAAUGUUUAAAAUUUUAAACGCCUCCUACUGAGAUAAUAUCAUGGCACCAUGCCAAAUUCGUAAUUUUCUGGCACUCUAUAGUUUUUUCCCCUAAAAAUUGAAGAACAAAAAAAAAUACAAGUAAGGUUUCAAAAUUUUCCAAACUAAAUAUUAGAAUUUAUCCAAUAAUAUCAACCUAUGCACUUAAGAAAUUAAAUAUGAUCUUUUUUUCAAAUGUUAAACUUUUUUACUAAACUUGUACUUUAAUUUAGAAUUAUCUCCAGUAAAUACGUAUAAAUUCAUUUAACUUGUAAAUAAUAGCUGACAGUUUCAGAAAAAUGCCUAACUUUGACAAGAACAAUCUAAUGUAGCAUGUUCCACCUCGAAAAGGUUUAGAGCAUUUGAUAAAUAUUUUUUGGUAGGCAUUACAUUUGUUACCUAAAAUACGAUUUACUUUUUAGGAAUAAUAGUAGAAAAUAAAAAAAAACAUAAAUCGGAUAAGAAUGAUGGAAUAUAACAUGUCCCAUAUGGGAAAAAUCUGAGCACCCCAGAAAAAAAUCUCUGCAACCUUGUGUUCAGAUACGACAACUAAGGCCCUGUUUGGAAUCAUAAUAUAUUAUAAUAAUCUGGAUUAUGAAGAUAGAUUAUANNNNNNNNNNNNNNNNNNNNNNNNNNNNNNNNNNNNNNNNNNNNNNNNNNNNNNNNNNNNNNNNNNNNNNNNNNNNNNNNNNNNNNNNNNNNNNNNNNNNCGCCCGCGACCAUCGACCUCAACGCCACACCGGUGGCCGGUGGCUCGUCAUCCGGAGGCGCGAGGAAACGCGCGUGGCAGACGCAAGCCGACCAGUUGCGGGGCGCGCGUGGCAUUGUAUGUCAGCGCUGGCAUGACGCUGGCAUGAAACAUGGCCGCUGGCAUGAUCGGUCACGGGUCCUUUUUUGAUAUGUUGAUUGCGGACAUGAAAUGGGUCGGCGUGUUGGGCGCACUGCUAACCAAAUCUAAAACAGGACGGACGCUGGGCGGGCAGCCGACCCAAACAGACAAAAGGCGGACAAAUUUGUCGUCUGUUUGGAUCGACCCGUUGGAGUUGCUCUUACAGUAUAAUUGGUGCAACAAACCCAAAUUACAAUUAUCAUGGCAUUAGUUCUCAAAAACGUGCAUGCCUUCGCCUUGCCUAGACACGGAUCCACCUCCUCCUCGAUGGACCAUCCCAGUCGAGCACUCUAGCGGCUAAGCAAGAGGAGGUGGAGGAGAUCUUCACCCCUGCCCUCCUCUCCUCGCCAUCACAAGGAUGACAAGAUGACUACUUCGUCCUCCCCCUCCAAGUGAACGAAGAUGGUGAGCUACCCAUCUCCCCCUCUCUACCCCACAUAUGUGUUGGUUCAGUUUGGGUUUAAUUUGUAUGUACGUUGUAAGAGCAUAAUUUUCUUCAAAUAGUUUUGAUGGUUGAUGAAAAUAUCUUUUGCGUACUGACCGUACGUAUUAAGCUUUCAGAGAUUAACAAGUGACACAAGAUGCUUUUUUUCCCCUCAAUGGUUAAAAGAGAGGAUGGUUAUUUUCUAUCGGUUUAGUAUUGUUAGUGGACUUGAGUCGUAGGAAUAUUCAUACUAUAAAGAGGGGGUCCGCAUGUGGAAAUGUUGGGUGGACACGUACACAUUUGAACCCCUUCCUUUCCCGGUACUUUGGAGCUUCUGAUCUCUCUUAGGUCAUCAAAGUGGAAGUACCGCGCUAUAAAAUUUGGCCCCAUUUCAAAUGUAGGAACUGGAAAUGUAGGAAUAGAAAAAGCGCAGGAAUUGGAAUACCAUGUAUACUAAGUUCCCACAUGAACCAAAACCACGGAAAAACUUCAAAAUCGUCAUUUGGAUGACACGCGGGAAGUGUAAACACAGAGAGAAGAAACAUCCAACCAAAAUUCCUAUGGAAUGCAAUCCAUAAGAAUUUUUCUCCAAUCAAAAUUCCUACGGAAUGCUACAAUGCAUAGGAAUUUCGAAGGAACAUAGGAUAUCAACUACAUUUUGUUCCAAAUCACAACAAAGGAAUUUUCCCUAUAGAAAUCGUGUCUUUUGAAUUUCUUACGUUUUUCCUUUGUUUCAAUAGGGGCCUUCACUUCUUAUGAUAAUAUUUGUAAUGCCACUUCUUCAAAUUGCCAGAACUCUAGUCCAGUUGAGAUGUUGCAACAAUCCACUUGAGAUCACAAAAUAUGUUUCACUUGUUUGAAAUUACUUGAGAGCCGAAUUUUUGGCUGGAAGACAGAAUCGUUUUCCUGCAUUUAUACAGUUACAGAGCUACCAGUUACUAGUUAAGAGACACACCUCUCCAUGGACGCUCCAGCUACACACAGACACGAUGCUGGCACGACUCGGCAUCGCUGCUCCUGAGGAACAACCCAACAUAUAUCUAUAUCCAGGCUACUAUGGCUCCUCAGACCUCGGCCUCGAGGUACUGAGAAUGAGCUGCAGCGAGGAGAGCGGCUCCGAUACCUGACCCAUCAUUCGCAAGCUUGAUGACGACGGAGGAUGAUACUUCCUCCCCUAGCAUCUCGCGCAGGGUGCUCUCCAAGGUUUCGCUGAAGAUUGUGUAGUGCUCAUAGAGCCCGCCGUCCAUGGCAAUAACCGUCCUGUGCUUGUCGCUACUGGGGAUGUCCCGUCCAAGCUUUUUGAGGACCCCGUGUAUCCCUGCAGCAGCGAGGCGCGCCCCACGCUUUGCAACAAUGUCGCAUACAGCCACAACUAGCCGCCUCGUUUUAAGUGAGGUGCCCUGGAUCUGCAAAAUAAAUCAAGGAUUUGGAUGUGUUCAAUUAAGUUUUACAAUGAAGGGAAUAUUUGAGACAAGCGCUAAAAUGGGGAGAAAGGGUAAGGCGAUUACCCCCAGGACAUCUUUAAGUUUGGCUCCAACUGUUCUGAGAUCAGGUGAUGUGUCGUGGUGCAUCAUUGACAUAUGUGGCGUCCUGGAUACAUCAUCUCAAACUCUCAUUCUCUGGGUAUGUAAACAAAAGAUAUCCCACAGGAAAAUGGUGUGGGUGGCAGACAGAAUUUAUCUAACUUCUUUAAAGACCGGACUAAUGUAAAACUAAUAAUCAGGUAUGAACUUAUGCUGAGCAACUUUUUACUAUGUCAAGUAUGUUGUCAAUGCAUUUAUACUGGGAGCUUAUUAGCGGAUCAAUGCAGGAAUUCUAGCCCUAGCCCAUAUAGACUCUUCAUGGUUACCGUUUUAGUUCAUCUAUCUUUCUACUUUAAUUCAAGCACGGGAAGACAAGCACUGUAGCAUUUCUUCUUAUCUGUGUUCCAUACUUUAUUAUGAAACACAAAAUCGAGUUGAGACUACACUUACCUAAGAAUAAACGGAAUCUUUAGUUUUGGUGGUAUAUCAUCACCAAAAAGUGAAGCUUCUUCAGUCAUCUUUAACAGGACUCUUCUCACAAUUUCCCCCAAAUACAUACCAGAGAUCAGCUUUUCAUAAAUCUACAAAAGAAAUAAAGUUAUAACCAGCAGUGAAAGAAAACAACAAGAUGUAUAUCUUUAGUAUGAGACCUGUUCACCAGGAUUCAGGCUUUCUGCAUCUAAUGCUUGAUCAAAUUCAGUCAAAGGGAGGUGGGACGAUCUGAAGUUCCCCCAUUCCAUAUUAAUUACCUGUGAGAAAUCAUAAAAAUCAUGACAAUCCUGACAACUAUCUCAAUCUCAAGCAACAUGACUUUUGAUAAUUACAGAUGACGUGUUGUUUCUUCUCUUGUUUUUCACAUUCAUUUAUUUAUUUUUGGCAUUACCAUACUUUUUUUUUGAACACCUGUAUAGUUUUUGCCCUGUGAAGCACAAUAACACUCACCAUAUCUCCUGACUUGGGAAGGAGGCCAUGCCAUUUAGGAAUUGCAUUGGCACGUUCCACGUAUGCUGCAUUGGUACCUGUACCUAGAAUAACAGCAGCAACGACAUCACUGUCAUCAUAUCUGCCCCCAGCCAAUGUCCCUAUAGUAUCAUUUACCUGCAUAAGAUCAUGCAGGUACAUGUCAGGUUAUAGAAAAGAUAGUUGUUAGAGUUUGGACACAGGAUAUAUAACAAAAAUUAUCAUGUAACUUUCACAGCAAAGAAACUAACCAAUGCUGUCACUUUCAUAUCAAGCCCCUGACGGUCCAGAGCACUGCUUAAUUCAGCCACCACAUCUGCGCCUACCUGACUUCACAGCAACAUGCAGUAACUAUUAUGUUCCAGAUAGAUUUGCAAGUUCCAGCAACCAUAGGUGAUACGGGCAUAAUUUUGAGUAAACAGUGUAUGUUUCCAGUGAAAGGUCAAGUCUUGUCUGACAUUGUUAGGAGUAUAAUAUUAAUCUUUGUGAUGUUUAUGAGAGAACUAACCGUUUCAUCAAUAGAAAAACCUUUAGUCCACUUGAUAAGAGUUCCAGAUGCAAUGGAAGACUGCUUUACUGGAAAAGAGAAAGUAAAACCAAGUUCUCUUUGCCUUCCCUCAAGAAGAUGAAAAUCUUCACCCUCUGAGGAAACAAAUUUUGCCAAAGCAGCGGCAAUAAAAUCAAAUAGUUCCUGAAAAAAAAAACAUGACAUGUGACAAACUUAUCCAUUGAUCAGAAAGGGUGCAAAACUGACUAUGGAACAAUUUUACUUGCGAGGUCCCGGUCAUUAAGUGUGCCGGGAUUGAGAUCUCUUCACAUUCUUGCUUCACAACUCGCCCUUCCUUGCCUCCUAAUUGAACACGUAAAACGCGGAAAUUUGUCCCUCCAAGGUCAAGUGCAUAGAACAGCCCCUUCUCUUGCCUGCCAAUGUGACCCUUGACAUGUUAGAUAUACAAAUCCUAAGUGCAAAUGCAUGAAAUGGUUCAAUGAUUGGCUGGAGGCUGUAGCUCCACCUAUUAAGUUUAAACCCGGUGUGUGGCACUUGUUAGUAUAAGAUACCCAUCAUGAGUCAUUCCCCGCUCAGAAUAUCAUCACCAACGGGCGACGACUAAUCUAUAGGAAACUAGAAUACAGUCCCAGGAGAUUCUCGCUAGAGACUUGAGCGCCCAAAGAAGAAGGCGGUGGUUAGCAUAAGAUACCCAUCCCAUAGGAUUUACACACAAUUGUUACUCUGGGACCCUUUGUGUAGUGUUUAACAGAAACAUACAGAAAGACCAUCAAUUACAGGAUUACGUGUAAGCACCGCAGCAGGUGACCAAAAAUUGACUGGCCUUAUAGUUAUAAACGAUAAGACCAAUAAACUUUCAGAAACAUUUCACUUAAAGUUGCAAAGCAGUUCAGAACGACUAACAGCCUUAAUCCUGUUGGGUUCCAACUAAAGAACAGUGGUCUAUAUCUUGCAAGAACCAUAUGGUCAGUGACUCGGUACGGUUGGCACAUCCAUCCAACCAUAGCGUACACGAGCGAAGUUCGAAGAGCUAAUCGGUAAGUGACAGUCUUUCCCCCUCCUAAAAUCAUGUAAUGUAAGCAAUAAACCAAACGAAUUCCCCUCAUUUUUCUAAACCCUGCGACAAAUUUGCCUCAAUCUAUUACUAAUGAAGUCGAAAAGAGUAUCAUGUUUCCCUCAGAUACACAUACACGCCCAGUUGGCAGACAGGGUCUAGACAAAUCAUCAUCGCAACAGUAGUACGGCCACAACCUUCAAACGGUCAAAUCCACAGGCAGAAUCCUGCCCAUUUCACCGAGUCAGGAACCCUACCCUGCAACCCAUUUCUAGCACAACACGUACGAGGUGAGCCGCGACAGCAAUCCCUCAACCGCGGAGCAACCCAGGCAAUAGACAGCUACAAAAAAAAAUCCAUCACGCGACCGCUUCUCCUCCUCGUUUUUUAUCUCUCGCAGGAACAGACGGAGGAAAAAACAAGGGCAGAUCCAUCGGACCUGACGACGCUCAUUCGCGACAGGCACACCGGCUCCAGAGGAACGAACGAACGAACGAGGUAAGGCAAGGCGAGGGAACCUCCCGAGCCUCCAGCCCGGCGGAGGUCCCAAUCGAAACAGGCACGCACACGGGGAGAAGGAAGGAAGGAAGAGAGAGGCGAGCGUUACCCCGAGGGGAGGGAGUCGACGUAGCUGAUGAUCAUCCCGAGCUUGCUGCCGCCCUCGGAGGCGAGUCCGGCGUGCAUCUCGACGGCGACGGCGUCGGCGACCUGGCGCAGGCGGGCGGGCGGCGCGGCGCAGCGCUCGUCGAGGCCCCGCAGCGGGGCGUCGGCGCGGCCCCACCGCUUGGCCUCCCGCAUCUGGCGCCGCGCCAGCAGCGCCCCCCCCACCGCCGCCGCGCAUCACUACGCAAACCCUCUGCCAUCCGACGAGAUUACAAAGAAGUGGCACACUAGACAACAGAGCCAACACUCACANNNNNNNNNNNNNNNNNNNNNNNNNNNNNNNNNNNNNNNNNNNNNNNNNNNNNNNNNNNNNNNNNNNNNNNNNNNNNNNNNNNNNNNNNNNNNNNNNNNNGUGCGUGCGUGCGUGCGUGCGUGUGUCCCGAGCUGCGCGCUCGGUGCUCGCUUGGUCCGCCGUUGGCCCGUCCCCUCCGCCGUAAAUAUGGGCGGGGCGCGGGGGGCCGUUCGGGAAUGCGUCGUGGGCUCCUUUUUCAGCCGUUUGCGAGGCGGUGUUGGGCCGGGUGGCUUUCGCGGGCCUGGCGAGUGGGCGGGCCGGCCGUGACGCGGACCGCACGUGGGUUCGGGGUCGGGUGCGCGGCACGUGGCGCGGGGGGUAAAUUUUUUUUGACCUUUUCGAUGGUGCGUGCCCGCAUGUGGCCCGGACGGGACCGCUCCCGAUUUGCACGCUCCGAAACUUACGAGAUCCGAAAGGGAGCACCCAACAGGGAUGCAUUUGCGCCCAGUAUGCUUUAUGCUUUAACGAAAAAACAGAUGCAUUUGCACCGUGCGAAACGACAACGCGUCCGCUGGUAUCGUAUAGCACGGUUUUGGGUCAUGGAGCGGCUGCCACUAACCGGAAUCCAUUCUUCUUACGGCCGAAGGGGCUAAGGAAAUUAUGUAGGGAUCCUAUAUACUCCUUCCGUUCCUAAAUAUNNNNNUUUAAAGAGGUUUCAUUAGUGGACUAUAUAUAUGAAUGUAUAUAGACAUAUUUUAGAUUGUAGAUUCACUCAUUUUGUUCCGUAUGUAGACUUUUAGUGAAAUAUCUUAAAAGAAUUUUAUUUAGGAACGGAGGGAGUAUGUUCCUAAAAAAUUCAUGCAAAUCAAAGGUGACCGAAAGGUGGCAAUAAAGUUUAUUUUCGGGGUUUAAGUCCUAGUGUUUACAUUUAUUUCAGGAUUUUCGGGGAUGCACAUUCAGUGGGAGGAGAAUUUUCAUCGAUGACGAGGCGUCUAUGCUAACUUCAUAAAUCUCAAUAUGACAUGUUGGUUCAGUCUUUCAAAUGUGUUCAUAUGGGUAGAAUGUGCGUAUGUACGUUCAUACAGGUGAGUGUAUACACGUGUAUAUGAACGCUUACGUUUGUAUUAGGUUCAAAAAAAAAACAAUUUACUCUCGUCAGGGGUUUUUGUUUCUUGCAGAAUGAUGGCAGUCCGUCCGCUGUUAUCAUAUAGCCGGACUCUAUUCUUACCAAACAAAGGAGACCAAAAAGUGGAGAUGAAAGUUGAUUUGGUCUGAUCAAUAAAGGUUGGGCCGCAAACUCCCUCGAAAGUUAGAAGCAUGUCAUUUUUGUCAUCUAAGAGCCUUGUUGAAUUGUCCUUUUUCAUACUUUUUCGCUUGUAAAAGAUACAUACCUUAAUCGUUCAUUUUCUUUUUGGUUGGAGAUCACAUAUGGCUGAUGAUAUACACUUGUAAAACUAAUAAGGGUGUAUAAAUUUACCUCACUCAAAGCGGAGCCGAAAGGGACGCAUUAAGAAGUUUGUUAGGGCCACCAAAUACCCAUAGGGGACAAUGGACAACCUAACAUUUUGUUUUGGACGCAUCGUGCUUAGGUGAAAGCAAACAGAAAUAUGCUUUUUUGUAUUGAUGUCUAAUUUUUACUAGAAAAAACAUGUGUGGAGCGACAACUAAAAUGGCGAUUGAAUGAAGAGUAAGCGUGCGGGAAAUACACAUGGGACCGCGUCAAGAGAGCAGGUAAGCUAUCCUCCUCCGAGAUAUAGAUACACGCAAUAGUGGCAACAUAGAUAUGUCACCAAAAACAUAUGAUUACAUAUAUGCAUGAUUUAUGACUAAAAUAGCUCCUCUUGAUUCCUUCCCUAACCCUAAGCGGCUAGGGAAAACCUCCCCUUUAGACUUCAUCGGCGAGCCCGUGGGUUUAUGUCCCCUCGCAUGUUGCUCCGACGCGUGGUGGCGGGGAGGAGAAUCAUGAUGCCUCUGCUAUGGUUAGUAGUUUAGGCUAGGAUUUUUGUAGACCUCGUAGGUGCGACGCUCAGGCGGAUGACGAUUUUUUUUUGAGUUUGUCUUCUCGCCUUUAAUCCUCCUCGAAUUCGUUCGUCUGAACGUAGUAUGGUUACAACUAACAAUUAUAAUAAACUUCUUAUUUUUUAAUUGUGUAUCGCCUGUCGAAGAUUGAAAAUGCACUAAACCAACAAAUAGUAAAGGGCAGGGGCACCGAAUAUACAAAGGUGAACAUUAUAUCACGCGCAUCCACGUAAAUAGUAAAUUUGUAUAAAAUACUAGAUUUUGAAAUAUCACGGUAUGAAACUUAUUCGACCAUUUUACUCACGUGAGAAGUUUCGUGAUGUAUUGACAUCCAUGAUAUUUUUAGUGAAGAAAAUACAAUUAUGACCAUACUAUUCAUCAAACAGUGUCUUCUAUAUAUAGCUCUGAUUUUGUCAUUUUCCUUUAAAUUACCACGGAUGUGAUUUCUUCGUGAAACUUCACAUGCGAGUAUAUUGAUUGACUAUGUACUAUAUUACAAAAAUAAUUGCAGACACUCUCGCCACAACACAGUUUAAAGACCACAAUAGUCUCUCACCUCUUGAGGCGAGACUUAGAAAUCACUGGAAAACAUCAGUUGGAGCAUCAAUAUGUCAUAUGUGCAAAUGAGGCUUCUAAUCCCUGAACAACAGUUGAGAGAUACUCAUCUACAUUCGGUGAUCAGUAGUGAUAAUUCAAAACGAUGCCUAUACUCAUCUACACUCGGUGAUCGGUAUAUUCAAAGAAUAAGGUUUAAAAAAUCAAAACAAUAUGAAAUUGUUAGGCAUCCAAGAUGCUCAUGCACGCAAGGUGUGUGCAAAAAUUAAAAUUGUUCGGACAUCCGAGGACCUCGUGCAAAAAAAAUAACAAUUCAAAAUCGGCUGUAAAUAAUGUUCUUUAAAAAAAAAUCCAAGACACUCAUUGUUUUUUGUGUACGAGCUCACGGAAUGUUCAAACACCACGAAUUUUUGCAUGCACCUUGCCCACAUGAGCAUCUUGGAGGCCUAAUUUUCUUAAUUUAUUUUAAGUUUCUAUAUUUUUUUAAACUUACUGUUCACACCCGCUGUACAUGAGCCUGGGUGCAGAGUAGCCACUCUCAUAAUAACAUUUUGUUUGGGACACCAACUUUUUAAUCCCGAGCUGAUAUGCACACUCAUGAACAGUAAAUUUGAAUAACAAAAAAUAAAAAAUAAUAUGAUUUUUGGUGAUAAAAAGUGAUUAAUGUCUCAGUUGCAUGUAAAUGAAAUGACAUUCCUGGAGCUACGGGGAAAACAAUAAAAUCGAUGCUCCAACAAGGCCAAUUUAGGGGGCAUUGAUUUUUAUUUUUGUUUUUACCCAGGCCUCCACGAAUGUUAUUUCAUCAUGAGAUUUUGCAGGGAGGCGGGUAAAUCAUUCGUCAAUGUUUAUCACAGAAAUAAAAUGACAAAAUUUUGAAUUUGUAUACUACUCCCUCCGUUCUUAAAUAUUUGUCUUUUUAAAGAUUCAACUAUGGACUACAUACAUACAGAGCAAAAUGAGUGAACUUAUACUCUAAAUUAUGUCUAUAUACAUCCGUAUGUAGUCUGUAGUGAAAUUUCUAAAAGACAAAUACUAUUUAGGAACGGAGGGAGUACUAUUUUUUUGGUUUUGCUAUUCGUGCGGGUGCAUAUGAGAUCGUGAUUAGAAGAGCACUUUCGAUUUUUUUUUGUAUUAUUAUUACUGUUGGUCUUUGUUGCAAAAUUACAGGCCCACACAGUUUAAGGAAAAAGGCCCAGAUGGGUCUUGGUCAAGGACGCCCAACCCCGACAAACAGGAACAGUCCUGACCCUCGCAGCAAAAGCCCGCACCACCCUCCUCCGCCGCCACCGCCACCGCCACCGCCACCGCCGGCAACCACCGGAUCCGGAGAAGAAAGAGGCAGCGCCCGGCCAAGCGAAGCGGGGGAGGAGAUGGUGGGCGCUCCGUCCUCGCCGGUGGUGAACGUGUACCCGCUCGCCAACUACACCUUCGGCACCAAGGAGGCCAAGAUGGAGAAGGACACCUCCGUCGCCGACCGCCUCGCCCGCAUGAAGGUCAAGUGAGUGCGCCUCCCCUCCCCCCCUGAUCCAGACAUGCCCAUAGUCUCCUGAUGUCUUGCUCUCGCCGGAAACCCUAAACCCUAGAGCUCACAUCGUUUGCGUGUUUUUUUUUUGUGGGUCGAAGGCCUCCCUCGUCAUCACCACUUUCUUGCUUAUUCUAGUCAAAAUUUGAGAAUGCCUUGUUUUGGCCCUUAAUUUGGGUGCUGUCGAAGUUGCGCUAUGACUGGUCAUGAAGCAUAGUGUUUUUUCGCAUCUGCCUUGCUUUAAGCGGAGAGUGUUGACUUUAAAGUAAUGCCCAGCAAUCUAGCUUAUGAGCUCGACCAUACACCCUUUAGCUUUAGGGCCGUCUUGCUUUGUGCCUGUACUGGAUGCGUGUUGCGAAGGGAACUAUAAUAACCAUCACUAAAACUUGCUGGAAGUUCUAGAUUUCGAGCAUGGUGCUUGGCAGGUCCCUUUCUUGUGAGGAGAUAACUGGUAACUUUGGAGCAUUAUGUAGCAAAUAGUUAUACAUGAUAAUUUGCUGGAACACUAGCCUGGAGCAUCAACAAACAGUCAUCAGUUAUCAUAUAGUUAAUAAAGGAAGCCCAUUUAUCAGCUUCUUCAAUCGAUUGCUUUUUUUUUUUAUGUAUGUGUGUUCUAUGUUGUGUCCUACGUAUCCCCUGAACACUUGGCUACUCUGCUAAAUAUGCUGUGUGACCUUAUUCUGUCGAAUGUACAUCAGUUAACCUACUAAUUACUUGUGCAAUGACAGCUACAUGAAAGAAGGAAUGCGAACAAGUGUUGAAGCAAUCCUAUUGGUAUGUUUCUAUACUUCCAGCUCAUGGUUAUUGUCAUUUACGUUCUUGUGCUUAAAACAUCCAGUGGCUGGCAAACUUUCUGCAGUUACAGUUGGCUAUGGUUGUAGUAAUUUGCCAAAUAAACUGAAAUAUUCACUUGGAUUGUCUUAUAUAGGUGCAAGAGCACAACCACCCCCACAUACUGUUGUUGCAAAUUGGAAAUACAUUUUGCAAACUUCCUGGUGGACGGUUGAAGCCUGGAGAAAGUGGUGAGUUUUUGGUUGCUCAAAUUUUCUGCUGUAUCAUAUGUUCCUUAACUGGUACCAUCAUGAAUCUUUGUCUGUUGUCUGGAAUCCUGCAGAAAUUGAGGGCCUGAAAAGGAAGCUCUGCAGCAAGCUUGCAGUUAACUCACCUUCCUUUCCGCCUAACUGGCAGGUAAUGAGCCAAGAACAGUUCGGUUUCCUUCUUGUUAAUGGUGAAUGAUCAUAUCUCAUUACUUAAUUGUAUGGGCCUUUAAGUUGUAUCUGAUCACUUUGUGCGUUGCUGGAUCAUAGUUAACCCAGUAGUACUGAAGGUUAUCUGCAUCUUGAAGAAAGAAAAACUGAACUGCCAUCUCAACGUUCCCUAACCUGUCUACUUAACACGGUUGUUAUAGUGAUUUAUAGCUUAACUGAUGCAGCGAGAACAUUACAUGGCUCCUUAUGUGCUACAUAUUGUGGCUGCACCUAAAUUGGAACAGUGCCAUGUGUGUUAAUUGCAGAAAAUCAUGAUCACAGUUUCCAAUAUUCAAAACAUGAAAUGCCUACCGUCAUACUAGUGUGCCAAUCUAAAAAGCACGGAUACGGGGAGUCGGGGACGGAAAGACGGGGAUAUGCAUACGGGGAUACGGGAUACGGCAUUUUCCAAAAACAGCUAUUCGGGGAUACGGCGAGUACAUAUAAAAUUAAAUAAAAGUAUGCCAUGUAAUAUAGAGUUAAGACAGGAAUUUAAAGAGAAAGAGAUUAGAAUAGAGAAAGAAUAGAAUACUGCCCCAGUUUGUGUCUCUUUUAUCAAGUUCUUGAUUGAUCCUCGUGCCCCCAUGUCAUUGCAAGCCGCAUCUUGCAAAACACAUCAAACACAAACAGUAAAGAAGAUUAGAAAUUUAGAAGAGUAGACGAUAUAUUCUGUCCCACAAUAUGAACACAUGAAAACAGUAGAGAUGUUUGCUUUGCUUACCCAAUUUGCAAUGCCAUUUGGCUCCCAAUUGCAGAAUGGUUUGGCAAUCUCAACACCAUAUUAUAAAUACAAACCGUGACAAAUUGAUAAGGUCACAUAGUCCACUAAGAACAUGAUAAAUAUGGGCAUAAGAAGGCUCAGAUGGUCACAUAGUUUCAAACACAAACAGUUCAAAUGGCAAAUAGGUAGUUCAUAAGUAGAUUGCAUAACAACUAGAAACAUAAAUGGAGAGAACGACUGAUUGUCUCAUUCUCUCAUGGCUGAAAGAGUGAAUGGCAGUAGACUCAAGUAAGAGAAUCAAUGAUUUCCUCCUCCAAUUCUGGUUCAUCAAGUGAAAGAUCUGCAGAUUCAAGCAUGCCAACACCAGCAGAAGUCUUAACUCCAUCUCCCCCAACAUCCCACAUUCAGUUUAGCCCAGUUAGAUAUGCUUGAGAAUUCCUUGAAAGAAGGCGAUGGUUGUUGUGUGUGUACACCAAAUCAGAAACUCGAGCAGGUGUUAGCAUGUUUCUUGCAGCACUAUGGAUGAAACCAUAUGUGCUCCAAUUCCUUUCACAGCAAGAGGAAGAUGCAGGCUGCACAAGUACCUUCAAUGCUACAUUUUUUAAUAGCUUUGUGCUGACUCCAUGAAGUGCCCCACCAUUGUUUAGGUUCAAAAUCCGCUCUAUCUUCAAUAGAAUCUGGAUUUUCGAAGGCAUUCAUGAAAAGAGUAUAACCAGCAAAUUCCUUCUUGAUGGUUUUGAAAUCCUCUUGAUCUGGAUAGAACUUCCGAAAGCACUUGUUUCUCAUUUCUGUAACUUCAUGGUCAUCAUUGGGGCUGAUACGGCCAGGGACUUCAUUAAUCCAAGCUGGAUUAUAGUAUCUACUCCUUCCGUCCCAAAAUAAGNGACUCAACUUUGUACUAACUUUAUACAAAGUUUGUACGAAGUUGAGUCACUUAUUUCGGGACGGAGGAAGUAUUAUAUAAAUCAGCAAGCAUGUACGAAGUUGAGUCACUUAUUUCGGGAUGGAGUAUGAAACAACAUCUAUGAUCUAGGUAUCACUUCAGAAGUUCAGAAUUCAAAUUAUACCUUGGGUUUAGUGAGUGAGCCAGACAAUGUAAAGGGGUAUUGCUCUUGGUCCAACGGGAAACAAGGAUCUCUUUAAUAAUGUCAUACGAGAUGCACUCUUCACCUUGCUCCUUUUCUUCAAACUGAUAGAUAGGUAUUUUGACCUAUGAACAAAAGAACAAACCAAAUCAGCAUGCUCCACAAAUGAAAACAGCAUGUUAAUGAAUUGAGAGAUGCUUGAAGGCUUGAAGCAACUAAUCAUUUACCUUCUCUAUCAUGGAAUCCCACAUUUCAUAGAUCAAAUGGAGACAUGGCUUGUCCGUGUCAGCCAACCUUAUCAUUGCAUAAAUAGGCUCGGUGAAAGAAACAAUGUAUUCAAUUCUGUCCCACCAAAUAUCAUUGAGAACAAGCUUCUUCACACUUUGAGCUUUANNNNNNNNNNNNNNNNNNNNNNNNNNNNNNNNNNNNNNNNNNNNNNNNNNNNNNNNNNNNNNNNNNNNNNNNNNNNNNNNNNNNNNNNNNNNNNNNNNNNUGUAUACCCCAGCACAACAAGGCCUCUGAUGAUGUCCAAUGACCACAACAAAUUCGAGCAUCCAAAUCGGCUUCAUCUUUCACCUUCAAACUUUACAAAUCAUCCUUGUGAAGGUUUCGCGGUUCCUCCUAUCCUGUUUGAUAAGAAACGCACUGGGCCUCGACGUAAGCUUAGUUCUUUGCAUUUGUUUUUCUACUUACCAUCGCAAAACAUUUUGUCCCAAUCAUGUACCUUGUCGUCUGACCUCUUCUCACCCUCCCUGUAGCAUGCCCUGUUUGCUAUGUGUCGGUAGAUCAGGCAUUUGCUCUGAUGCCUCUACAAGCUUCUCCAUCUCCUGUCCUUGAAAACUUAAAAUACGCCUUGGAAGACAGCGUCACUGCAAAUUUCUCAAAUCCGGGCUCUGCAUUUGGAGGGCAUCUAUCUCUGGAGCAGAGAAAUAAAUCUUUUGACAUUACCGAUUCGAUGACUGUCCACUGUGGGUAUGUUACAUGCAUCUGUUGUUCCAGAAUUCCAGAUUAAGUCCUUAGCUUAUCCAAAAGAUUAGUCUUUGAAAUGUGAAUAUCGAUCGACAUUGUUUGUGCUGUUUUAUCAGAUUUGUUAGAGGAAAGAAACCUGGCCAAGGUACCGGAUUUGACAUCAGUGAUGAUGAUCUGCUAGAAAUGGAGCAAUGCCGUGAGCUUGUUGUAGCUUCCGCCAUUUUCGGUAACUAGCACUGUUGACUAAUAGUUGUAAUCUUUAUUGCACUCAAUUAGCUGCUCACAAUUUGAUACCGUUGUCCAGGGAAUUAUGAUAUGAUUCAACAUCCAAGGAAUGUCAGUGAACUGUCAAAGGCAAAUGCGUGUUUUUAUAUGUUUGUAGAUGAAGAAACAAUGGCUUAUGUCAAGAAUUCCAGCUCACUGUACAAAGAUAAUAAAGUUGGCUUAUGGAGGCUAGUGGUUGUCCGAAACCUCCCUUAUGAAGAUCCAAGGCGCACGGGGAAGGUGCCUUUCUUAUGAACAGUAACCUUUCCCACUUACUUUCUUAUGAACAGUAUGAACACAUCAUGUGCAAUCCAUGAUAAAUCAAAUACUUAAGUCAAGUAUUAACUCCCUAAAUAAAUGAAGUUAAGUCUGUGAGGUGAUAGUAUUUAUGGCAAGCUUGUUGUGGGGCUACUGUGCAAAACAUGCUCUUGAGCUAUCUGUCUUCAGUUGGCUUAUAUUUUAACCAGUUUACAAGAAAUUCAUAAUCUGAUAAAUUACUGAUUUGCCUUUGCCUGGCUCUUUAAACCUUACCCCGUUUCAGUUUUGGGACCAUUUUAUAGCCUAUAAGCUUGGUCGUUGAGACCACUUGUCAUCAUGCAAGAGCUUGUACGUUUAUGUCCAAAUGUCUAAAUGAGUAUUCUUCUAGGAGGUUUUAGGUCCAACGUUUUAAGUAGUUCAAUUGAAGAAAUUAAUGUCUUACGACAAGGUUAUCUGUAUCUAUACGUUGUUAUGAGCAUGUUGAAUGACCAAAUACUUUAUUGGUGCAGAUUCCCAAGCUUCUGCUCCAUAGGCUAUUUCCAAAUGUAAGAUUUUCAGUUUGGAUAGACGCAAAGCUUCAGCUUGUUGUGGAUCCUUAUUUACUGCUUGAGAGGUAUGCUUGAUGUAAUAAAGAGCUUGGUUUAUUAUGUGUUAUUAUUUCUUGGUGAGUCUGUUCUUAAGGAGAAAGCUUGUUGUGGAUCCUUAUUUUGCUGCUUGAGAGGUUUACUUGAUGUAAAGAGCUUGAUUUAUUAUAUGUUAUUUCUUGGUGGUCUUUUGUAAAGGAGAAAAUUCUGCCAAAUAGCUUUUUUUAACUAAAAAUCUGCCAAAUAGUUAGUCUUGUGUCAAACGUGGGCCUGGCAUAUUUAAAUCAGUGGGGUUAGAGAAUGACCCGAUUUAUCCUCAUUGUAGUAUGGAAAUUUCAUACAUCCAACUGUUAUCUUGCGUAUCUUUUGUCCCGGUUGGGCCUGACUGUUUAUUCUACUAAUCAGGUUUCUGUGGAGAAAGGAUUCUAGUUUUGCGAUAUCUCGGCACUACAGACGUUUUGAUGUGUACGAAGAAGCAGAAGCUAAUAAAGCUGCUGGAAAGUAUGACAAUGCAUCAAUCGAUGAACAGAUAGAUUUUUACAGAAAUGAGGGCCUAACACAUUAUUCUCCCGCCAAGCUUCCUAUCACAAGUGGUCAGUGAACUCAUCAUCGGAGUCUAGCGCAUGAUUCAUGAGCUGUUGGGUUUCAUUCCCAGACAUCAACCUUUUCCCUCUUGCAUUGUGUGCAGACGUCCCGGAAGGCUGUGUGAUCAUCAGAGAACACGUCCCCAUCUCGAACCUCUUCACAUGUCUUUGGUUCAAUGAAGUUGACCGUUUCACCGCCAGGGAUCAAAUCAGCUUCAGCACCGUCCGGGACAAAAUAAGGUCUAAAGUCGGCUGGAUGCCCCAGAUGUUCCUGGACUGCGAGAGGCGCAACUUUGUUGUCCAGGUACUACAUCCCAACCACCGAGCAACUUGGCCUAUGCUAUAUUUUUUUCCCUACAGGCAGGCACAGCACACGGCCCACUUGUUAAGCUUACGGACAUCUCUUUUGCCGUUGACAUUUGGCCAGGCAUACCACAGGGAGCUGCUAGAGCAGAUGAUCGCGUCCGGCAGGAACACGCCUCCGACCGCCGUCGAGCCAUCGCGGAAAAUCAGGCCGGGUGGCAGCAGGAGAGCUCCCCCGUCGAAGAAGCCUGUCGUGAAGCGGAAAAAGGAGAAGAAAUCGAGCUCGCGGAGGCGGGUCCCGAAGCCGGUUACGUGGGCCAUGGAUGCUGUGUGACUGACGGAGGUUCACAGGGAUGGACGGACUCCUGUCACUCUAUCGAUAGUUGGGCGUGGUCGUGUCGCAGCUGGUGCCGCUAGGGGAGGGAGGGAAAGAAAGGGGGAAUGGAGGAUUGUAAUUUUUUGCCGGCCACGAAAUAGAAUUUGUUCAUAGUCAAUUCUUGAUUGUUGUUGUAAAUAACAGCGGAAAGCAGUAUCAUUCAAUUGAGCCCGGCCCUUUUUUCUGUUUCUGAUUGGAAAGCCAAGAAACAAAAUGCGCGCACUGUACAAUCUUUCUGUGCAGUGGUAAAAAAAUGUAAAAUUAUGGUAUGCGCCCACCGUGGGGCUCGAACCCACGACCACAAGGUUAAGAGCCUUGCGCUCUACCAACUGAGCUAGACGGGCUUGGUGCUGCUUCACUGAGCCAGCAGGUUGUGCAAUGACAACAGCUACAUUCACCAUUUCCAUGUCAAAUAACUUAGGAGUUGAUCACCCCAAAAAACUACUCCCUUAAAUUAGUUGUCACAGAUUUAGUGUAGUAUUUUAUACCAGGAUUUUUCUAUUGAAACAAUCUCAUCACACCCUUGCAGUCAUCCGUGUACCACUCGAGUUACUACGUACUUAGGACGAGUUCAAUGNNNNNNNNNNNNNNNNNNNNNNNNNNNNNNNNNNNNNNNNNNNNNNNNNNNNNNNNNNNNNNNNNNNNNNNNNNNNNNNNNNNNNNNNNNNNNNNNNNNNCGCUCCCCCCUCCGCCCCCGCCGCCGCCGCGGCCGAGCCGGCGCUCGACCGCCUCCUCCUCGCCAGCUCCGACCUCGCCGGCCUCGUCUCCCAGGUCGACCCCUUCCCCUCCACCAUUCGCUCCAAACCCUCGCACUCCCCCUUUUUUUUUCUUCUUCUCCCAGGUUAGCGUAGCGAUGUGAAGCGCUGUGUGAAUGUGAUUCGUUCGACCUGAGGCGGUGCCAUGGAUCCAUCCGAUCCGAUCCGAUGCUAUUCUGGAUGGGGUUGGGUGGGAUCCGUUGCUCGGGGUAUCCUGCUAGGAUCUCGUAUUCCUCGAUGAUACUGUACCGGCCGACCUCCGUGGCGAUUUGGGGGCAGCGGAUUUGAUUCAUGCGAGCUGUAAUUUUAGUCACUUGCUCUGGCCCUGGAAUUGAUUAGUAACUUGCCGAUUCCUUUUUAUGCGGAUUAAAACGUUAGUCGCUUGUUUGUCCUCGGAACUGAUUAGUUACUCGCUGAUUCCUCUGUCGGUCAUGUUGUACAUAGAUCUUUGCUGUUGGACUUUGGCUUGCCAAUCUGCCGAUUCUUACAAUGUUCUCCUGUUUUUACUCCUUGGAUCAGAUUGACAAAUUGGUCUCCAGUGCCCUCCAAUGCGAGACUAUAUCGACAAGAGGGGAACAAGAGAUAGAAUCCUUCAGUUGCUUCUUAUCGGAAACUAAUUCUUCUUUGAAGGUGGGCAUUGUCAUCAAAUCUUUCAUUUUUUUCUGAACCAAAUAGACCUUACCAUGAGCCCUUUAUGUUUCAGCUCUAAUUAUCACUGCUUUUGUUCUUAUGCAGCAAUGGUCUUCCAGACUUAAGCUAGCGCUUAAAGCUUCUCCGGCCAAAAGUGAAAAUGCCUCCAAGCACACCAUGGAAACCUGUUCAAAAUCUGCUGCAAAAGGGAGUGACAAGUUGUUUCCUAGCAACAGCAUCUUACCUCCAGCAGGCCCGGCAGUACCGCCUUCACAAGAAUUGGUCUGCAGCAGCAGCAACAACUUACCAGAGAUCGAUCUGAUUGUCUCGCCUUCACCUCUUGUUUCAUGGCGUACUGGGGCAUGUAUGGUCGACAGUGGGAAGCAGUUAUUUCUCUUGACACCACUGCCAAAAUCAAAAGCACGCUCAUCCAUGUGCCCAACUUCAUCAAAAGCACAGUUGAAGACAACUGCCAGCAUGGAUGAGCUGAAUCUUCCCAAUUUACCUGUUUGGAAACUAACCAUUUCUGAUGACAACCGCCCUGAUCUGGAGCAAAGUGUGAAAGGAAUGGAAGCAAGGGCUGGUGUCUCAACACCUCAUCCUAGAAAAGCAAAGAAAAGCUCAUCAGAGGACAAUCUGUUUUCACCUCUUAGCUUCUCAAUUCAGAAGAGCAGGAGAGCACCACUGCCUACUCCUUGCCCGAAGACAGCAUUGCGAGGUAAGCAACAUGUGUUCUCUCCGAUAUCAGAGGGCUCAAGUAAGGAUGGCAUUAUCAGUGCUGGAGCAGCUGAGAGUGAAAAACCACCAUCUGGAACCUCUGAUGAGAUGCUGUCUGAUGGGAAGGAUCUGGCAUCAAGGUAUCCAGACAUGUAUGGGUUUAAUCAACCUGCCGGAGACAGGCGCCGAAUGGAAGAAGCUGAUGUGGCUCUUGAUUGGUUCCUGUCACCCCUCAAGACCUGCGUGCUAAUGGAUCCAAGUCCAACAGAUGAUAAGCCUGUUCCCCUUCCAGCAAAGGAUAACAAAUCCGUGAUAGAAAGUCCUUGGGAAGGCUGGGAAAGAAAUAAUAAGCUGGAGGGAAGACGGAAACUUUCAGAUUGCAAUCCUAUCCAAACUCUAUCAGUGCAUAGCAAGGCCUUGGUUGGUACUCCUCGGAAAGGCCUGGAAAGCAAGAAUGACCUGAAGGGAAAGCAGGAACUUUCAGAAGACAAACUCAUCCAGACCCCAGCAGUGCGCAGCAGGGCCUUGCUUGGCACUCCCUGGAAGGGCCUGGAAAGCACCAACCUGAAGGGAAGGCAUGCCGGCGAAACAACUCUCAAGAAGGAGCUCUGGACAAGAUUCGAGGCGGUCUCGACCAACGAGCUGCACCUCGACAGGUCAGUCUUCCAGAAGCCAGAUGGAAGGAGAUUCAUCGACAUGCUCGAGGAGGCUGAAUGAUUCAGUCUAGCAGCAGGAGGGCACUUGUUAUUUUCUGGCGCAGUAGCUGUGGGAUUGGGGAGUGAAACCCAUCCCUACGGUCUAUCAUGGCACAUCAUCAUGUAUGAGUGCCCGGAGCCAAAACUGCAGUGAUCUAGCACACUAUAUGCAUUUUUGCACUGAUUAUCUUGUGCAUUUUUUCGAUGCCAAACUGCGUACUCCUGCCAGAACUGUUGUGUAGACAUGGACAGCGUUGAACUGUCGAUUCAUCCCAGUCACAUAGGGGGUUGUUUGAUACAAGGAACUCGGGUGCUUUUGUGGGUGAAUUGUUUAUGUGCUUUAUGUCAUUUCGAGAUGUGCUACAAAGAAUGUAAGCAUGUUUAAUACUCCCUUUGUCUCAUAAUAUAAGACGUUUUUUUGACAUUGUUGUGUCAGAAAACGUCUUAUAUUAUGAGAUAGUGCCAAAAAACAACUUAUAUUAUGAGACAGAGGGAGUAUACGGUUAAUCUGACUAAAUGCCUGUCUAGCUCAGUUGGAAGAGCUCUUGCUUUGAUAUUUUGAGGCAAAAGCUGGGAAAAUAACUGAUGCUGUACAGUGUAGCACGUUGGUAAACUGCCAAUGUCCGACACAGGUGGCCUUCGUGUGCUAUACUGGUGUAGCCGUGAAGUAGGUCGAAAUGCAAGCCUUGUUUACAAGGACAGACUUAAUUCUAAAAAACCUAUGCAAGUUCAAAUAGAUAUGAGUACUAUUUAUACCGUUGAUGUAGGCGCUUCAGUACUACUCCUUCCGUUUCGAAAUAUUUGAAGCUCUAAGUUUGUCCUAACUCAAACUUAUUUCGGUUUGAGCAAGUCUGUAGAAAUAUAAACCAAUAUUUAACACCAAAUUAACUCCAUUAGGUUCAUCGUAAUGUAUGUUUUCAUACCAUAUAGUACAUUUGAUGAUGUGGAUGUUAUUAAUUAUUUAUACAAACUUGGUCAAACUUAAGAAAGUUUGACUUAGGACAAAUCCAGAAGUUCAAAUAGGGUGUGUUUGGAUAUUUACAACCAAACUGCCACCGCCCAAGAAAAAUGUCCGGGCCGGAAGAAAAUGUUUCAUUCUCCAGCCUCACAUAUCGCUACGAUGCUCACCUACCUCUGCGAAGCUGAAUCCAGAGAGUUUUUUUUGCAGGGAAUUAAAAGAUUUAUUUAUAUAAAGGCAUUCGCUGCGCAGUCAGCUAAAAGGAUGCUGAUCAAGAAACUCGGUGUCUCCGUAAGCCAGCUUUCGGUGACAGUCACCUCACAAGCACGCUUGACGCAGAGGUGAGCUGGUCCAUUGGCUGAUCUACUUCAUUGAACUCGNNNNNNNNNNNNNNNNNNNNNNNNNNNNNNNNNNNNNNNNNNNNNNNNNNNNNNNNNNNNNNNNNNNNNNNNNNNNNNNNNNNNNNNNNNNNNNNNNNNNCCCACGGCGUCGUGCUGCAGCAAGAUGAGGGAGCAGAGGCCGUGCAUGUGCCAGUACGCGCGCGACCCCAACCUGAAGCAGUACGUCAACUCCCCCAACGGCAAGAAGGUCCUGGCUGCCUGCAAGGUGCCCGUGCCAUCCUGUUAAAUCGACGUAUAUGGUCAGAGAUGAGAGAGCAGAGCUGCAUGUGUUCAUGUGUGAGUGUGUUUGGUUGCCGUGUGUAGCUACCCCGAUGUAUCUGUAUCUGAAAUUCUGAAUAAAUACAGUAACAAUGAUGUGUGUUGUUUUUCCCUGUAAAAAAAAGUGUGUUGUUGGUUUAAGGUGUCAUCGUGCGUUAUGUGACCGACUUCGAUUGUACUCUGCUCAAAAAAAGUCUCAUCUUGCGUUAUGUUCGGAUGGUGCUAGUGUGAGCACCACUAGAUAAGAGAUGGGCGUUGACUGGAGAAAUAACUGUUCGUUCAAAAGGCCGGCCAUCAUAUAUGGCAUAUGUUUUUCUCAAACAGGCAUGUAAGAGGUGGGCGUUGUAAUUCAUGUUUUUUUCUAAAAAAAGGAUAAGCCCGGCCUCUACAUCAUUAAAAUGCAUAUAACUAUAUUUAUUAAAACAUAAGUAUCAUCAUUCCAUACACUCAAACCAACAAAAGUAGAUACAGUGACAACUGAGUGAAAAAUUGAAAAAAUAUGUAUACAGUUUAACCUCAAUUUGACCAUGUAUUUUAGGAUUCCUAUAUAUUUUUCUAUUCCCACGAAUCAAACAAGCACUUGUUAACAUUCUUGUGUUAACACAAUCAUAUGUUUUGCUCAUUCUUGUGCUUUCAUAAUCAUCUGUUUGCGCAUGUCAGUCUGCAACGAUGGACUAAUGAUGGACCAUCUAGAAGCAAGCGGCGUCAGAAUUUAGACAAUGAGGUGAAUUUAUCUUCUGGUCUCAACUUUCUCUUAUGUUUGCUCUGGUGCUUGGUUAUGGAGAUAUGGACAUACUAUGUUGUGCUCCAGACAUGGAGCCAGUGAUGUAAUGCUUGUGUUUGCUAUGGGACCAUCUUAUAAUUCUCAUGUGGAUAUGAUAGUUGGUAAUUGGUUAUUUGAUUACUAGUAUUCCAUAUUGAAUGUGUUGAGUUUUACUUGAUGCUCUUAAAUGUUCUUAGUACGAAGAACACCUUACUGUUGUUGCAGUCCAAUAUCUUGCAAGCGAAAAAAAACCUCGCUCUCGCGACCGCGUCGCCCGNNNNNNNNNNNNNNNNNNNNNNNNNNNNNNNNNNNNNNNNNNNNNNNNNNNNNNNNNNNNNNNNNNNNNNNNNNNNNNNNNNNNNNNNNNNNNNNNNNNNUCGGUGGAAGAGGGCAGGGGCGCCCCCGUGGAGCGAUUCUACCCGUAGAUUUGGCCGGAAUCGCGAGCGGAACCAAUGGCGGGCGGGCGGCGGAAGGAGGUGGGGAAAGGGCAUGGGCUGAAAUGUCCCUCCCGCCAACCGCUUUUCUAGGAUACGGGGCACCAUAGGGAUGAGGCGGAAACCUAUGUUUUCGUGGGUCGGCGGUGGGAUUUUGUCGCGUCUCUCAAAAAAAUUUACGGGUCCAACGCGUUUGCGGGGUCUGACCGGGCAACAUUUUUCGCGCCGACCCGUAUUUUAACGGUUAUUUUGCAGAUCGUAGCGUUAUACGGGUCUGCUAGAGAUGCUCUUAGAGUUGUUUGAACCGUCCGGUUCUGUUAUUUAAACUUUGGUGCUAAGACACUUUUUUUCAUUCUUGUGUUUGAUGUCUCGUUAUCUAGCGGAACCCGGUUCAAUAUGGAUAGAAUGGGGAAAAGCCAUCAUCCUGCUUACUCGCACAUGUUUUUUUUAACACAAUAUAGACAUAGACAUACUCAUACAUUGAUAUAUAUGCACAUGCAUUCAUUCAUAUAAACGCAUGCAUGCACUAUGCACCUUAAUAGAAUGACUCGGUAUAUUUUUUUGAGAUUGACGAAGUCGCUAUAGGCGCAUUCGUCGAAGGGAACAUUUCCCCACAGAACGCACAUUGUGAAAAGCUUAAAAUAAAUUGAAAGAAAUGUGAGCAUCAGUUUCAAAUAUAGAACUUAAACUGUGAUGGGCCGAAGAUACCACUUGCCUACUGACCAUCACUGAUCAUCUGACCACAAAUUAGUUCGCUUACAUAUUUUUUUUGUUCACUUGCACAUGCAAGCAUGGAAAGUACCAAUGCAAAAUACUUUCUCCGUUCCUAAGUAUAAGACCUUUUAGAGAUUNNNNNNNNNNNNNNNNNNNNNNNNNNNNNNNNNNNNNNNNNAGUAUAGAUUCAUUCAUUUUAUUCCGUGUGUAGUCUCGUAACGGAAUCUUUAAAAGGUCUUAUAUUUUGGAACGGAGGGAGUACAUUUGUAUUCCAUGUUUUGUCAUACUUUAUUUUGCGAGUGAGCACGCGCGAGUUGAGCUAGCUACGAUCUCAGAUCUCCAUCUUGCCCCGUCGGCCGUAUGGGUAUCGUGCUGUGCUGUUGUACUGUACAUAGCCUCCCCAUUUAACGAACGAAAUCAAUGGGUCGUUAGUGUCACACACAUCAUCACGUACGAUGGGAUGGUGCUUAAUUAAGAGCACUUGUAAUACGUAUAAGUGGUACGUAUACGCCGUAUAGUCCUCGCGUACGUACUACCACGUCGGACGCCACGCUCGGUGCAUGCAUGCAUGCAUGGUCUGUGCUGUACGUACGUGUGCAUGCAACGUCGCCACCUGCAUAUAUAUAUGGAUCCCUCUUCAAUUUCCUUUAGCAAAUAAGGCUGUGUGUAAAGGGAGUAUCAUAGAUAGUAUCAUAUAUGUCAACUAAUCAAUUUCGGUAAGCUGCAUAAAAUUAAAUAAGAAAAAAAAGGUUGAGUAUCAUAUUAUGAUACCGUAUCAUAUUAUGAUACCGUAUCAUAUUAAAUGAUGUGCUACUAUAUGUCUUGCAUGACAAUAAAUAAAUUAUCAUAUGAUAGUAACAUAUGAUAUUAUGCAUUAGGAACGUGGUAUCAUACACUAUCCAUUACAACCAGGCUAAUAAUACGAUCCGUGCACGUGCUGUCCUGGCAAGCCUCGUGGGCCCACGGUAUCUCUACGAGCUAUCCUGUCCCGAACGGACGGCGAGAUCUCCUCCACUCCACGACCACCAGCAAAGCCGGGCGGGCGCCAUGUCAUGUCACCCCGGCCGCCACCGGGUCAGGGGAUCAGGAUAGGCCUAUCCGGAGCCGGCCGCGUGGCGCCCUCCCUAUGGGCCUCGCUCAUCUCCGCCCCGCGCCACGCAAACCUCAUCGACGGCCAAGCGUUUCAAAUCCUUAACAGCAUCCGCCGGCCGAUCCCCGCAGCUCCAGAAGCAGAAGCAGGACACUCCUCCCACCGCACAGCUCGACCGCAAUGGCGUCGCUCGUCGCCGUCCAGCCGGCCGCCGUAAAGGGCCUCUCCGGCAGCUCCAUCUCCGGCCGCAAGCUCGCCGUCCGGCCCUCCUCCGCCGCCGCCUCCCGCUCCACCCGCAGGUAUACGAACUUACACACACACGGCUUAGUAAACGCAUGACACGCCACGCACACCACCGAGAGAGCAACGGAGCGUGAUUCACUCAAGCUCCGUCGCACGCCAUGGACGCAUGCAGGGCUCGCGGGGCGGCGGUGGUGGCCAAGUACGGGGAGAAGAGCGUGUACUUCGACCUGGACGACAUCGCCAACACGACGGGGCAGUGGGACCUGUACGGCAGCGACGCGGCGUCGCCCUACAACGGCCUGCAGAGCAAGUUCUUCAACACCUUCGCCGCGCCCUUCACCAAGCGCGGCCUGCUGCUCAAGUUCCUGCUCAUCGGCGGCGGCUCCCUGGUCGCCUACGUCAGCGCAUCCGCCUCCCCCGACCUGCUCCCCAUCAAGAAGGGGCCCCAGCUGCCGCCCACCCCGGGACCACGCGGCAAGAUCUAAAUCUAAUCCUCGCCUCGCCUCGCCUCGUGCUUGUGUACCAUGGAUCCCGUCUGAUCUCAUGGAUCGGAAUCGGAUCCCCCGUAUCCAUGUCUUUCUGUUGAUACUUGAUGCUGUACCUUGUUGCCUACGUGAUGCACACAAUUACUGCUAGAUCAUUUGCUCUUUAAUCCCUUUCGUUGUACCGCUGUGUGGUUUUAAUCACUUGUCCAGUGUGCGUACAGUGCCGAUCGAUCCAUCAUAUGCAUGUCACUCGGCAAUACACAUUGUCCAGCCGGCCUACUCUACUCUAUGUGCACAGCUGCACAAGUAAUGUUAGUACAAAGUUAAAUCAUUCGUCUUAAGAAGAAGGAAGUACUUACUACUCCCUCCGUUCCUAAANNNNNNNNNNNNNNNNNNNNNNNNNNNNNNNNNNNNNNNNNNNNNNNNNNACAUAUUUUAGAAUAUAGAUUUAUUCAUUUUGCUCCGUAUGUAGUCUUUUAGUGAAAUUCCUAAAAGGUCUUAUNUUUUGGAACGGAGGGAGUAGUAAUUAAGUAGUAACAGUUGCCGUUGCGGCCAUCUGUUUUGGUAGCGUCUGAUAAAUACCAUCAAUCAUGCAUUGCGUGGUCGAAUCUGACAUGCAUUGCAAAACUCCUAUAACACACUAGAAAGGUUGCUUUCAUGGAAAACAGGGUCUAGCUAGAAGAGUUCAACGCUCAGUAGUUCAGAAGUAUGCUAAAAAAUCACAUGUCCAUUUCUCAGGCUCAGUGUGGAAGAUCUCAUGAUUAUUUGGUUCAUGUAUAGAGCAUGGGGGGUCACACUUGAGCAGCACAUCAUCUUGGCCUCUGCACCAAAUUUCCAGUGGGGAUCCAACACAAUGGAGAUACACACAGGUGUCCGAAAGCGUACAUAAACCUCACAAGUCACAAUGGUACACCCAAAGUUCUGCACCUUGAUCACAAUGCUCUCAACACAUAUUUACAUGCAUUUCACUCCGGAGGCUCAAGCACACAUGUGUCUCCCCCACCCCCCCUACGGGCAGCGGCGCGCAACUAGUGUCUAGAUAUGGGGCUCCUUGUUCCGCUCAGAUUCUCNNNNNNNNNNNNNNNNNNNNNNNNNNNNNNNNNNNNNNNNNNNNNNNNNNNNNNNNNNNNNNNNNNNNNNNNNNNNNNNNNNNNNNNNNNNNNNNNNNNNCUGCACUCGGAUUUGUUCGUUCCCUUAUUGACGCUUCUUGGAUUAGACCGCGGAUAGAAAGAUUUCAUGAUUUGUUCAUGCUUGGUAGAUAGAAAGAUUUCAUGCUGGCUGGGGGCUGGCCGGGGAGAAAGCAAGAAAGAUAUCCAUAUAGCAAAUUGACACAGUUCCUUGCGAUCAUGUACACCAUGUAGUACAGUCUCUCAAAAUUGAACAAGACAAGUUCACUUGUAGCAUGAAAGAGAGUAAAACCAAUGUAGUACAUGUCUUUGUGCAGUGGUACUAUUUUACUAGUAGCCAACAGUAGAGGGCACUGUUGCAGAACAGCGGCAGCCUAUUUUACUAGUAGUGUACUACUUGCAGGUUACAGUAGUAAUUGAAAAGAUAAUUCUUUAUCAAUAUGUGUUUAUGCUUCCUUCAAAGAAUCUUUCUCCAUUUAUGCCUAGAGAUAUAUUUGAUUAAAUUGUUCUUCGUUUCAUUGUUUGCAGGUAAUACCAAGACUGUUAUAAGAGGCUCCUUGGAUACUCUACGACUACAUUUCUUAAAAGAUGAGUUCUUGUAACCUUUUGGUUGCCCUCAAUAGUAUCAGGAAGCAUAUUGAUUAUGAUUUCUGUGAUGUUCAUGGCGGGAUCAUAAAGCGAAAUAAAUCCACUUUAGUUGCUUUCCUAUCUAGGAUUAAUAAAAAUGAGCUUGCUCCUGUUUCAGGAGAAAAGAUUCCCACCAUUUGUCCUUUACUCUCUGAGGAUAUGAUACAACUUCUGAUAGGCUUGCUUCAAAUUUUCAAAGACAUGUUUAGAGCAAACAUUUGUCUCCGCAAUUUUGAUGAGAAUCACAUAGUUAUAGUGGAUGGGCAUAUUCCAAAAAUUAUUCAAAAUGCAUUAUUCGUGGAAUCAACAGAGGGGUAUAUGAAUCAAAAUGUCAUGUGCUUAGGUCAAGUAAUUGAGAAUGUUGUUUUUGCAAACUGUCAACUCUUGGCCGAGUCGAAGGACUUUGUUAAUCUGUUCAAGGAUGGGACGAAAAACUUUGAUCUCAUUAUUGUGCACCCCACACUAGUACACAUAUGUUUCAAAAUAGAUUAUUUUGGUAACACCCAUGAUUUCCUAUUGAAAUUCAUAAAAAAACUAGAUAACGCAGCUUAUACUGACAUAAUCAAUGAUCUUGAUUUUCCAGCUGACUGGGAGACACUGAUUGACAGCAAUGACCAUUUAAUCAAGUGCUAUUCGAACCGGCAAGUCGGGAGAGGGAAGUCGCGAGCUGCUCCAAGUCAAUCAGGCACAACGAUAGUACAUCCUCAAACUCCAGCAGUCAGCAGUAGUGGGACUCCACAUGCCCAAGGGGUCAGCAACAGUGGGAGGAAUCCACCCCAGACGAACCCUGCUCCAGUGAGUAACCGAGACUGCCUUUCUUUACUUGUCCUUUUCCAGCGUGUGGUGUGGAAUUCCUUUUCCUGUUCUUUCUUUUUAUUGGCUUCUUGGCUCUUUUUGUAUUUCCCCUUUGCCUAAUCAAUGAAAUUUGGCAGCUCUCUUGCCAGCAUUCAAAAAAUAACCGAGGCUGCACGCAACCCAUGUUCAGGGAGAAGCUUUCCUGCCAACAAGUUCAGUCCAGCGCUGGCGCAGGCAUGCCAUCCUCAAACUCUACCAGAGCCCCAAUGAGUAAAGAUCCACCAGUUAAGAACAAGGCUCCAAUGGCAGCAUCUGUAGGUGGUAAACAGGGACAACCAUCAAACAAGGGCAAGGCUCCACUGACAUCAUCUUCAACCACUACUCUUUUGAGUAAACAACGACAGCCAAAUGUUUGCCAAGAUUCGUCAUCCUCCAAGCCUUCCAAGCCUUCAUUGAAGAUGAAGAAGAAGAAGAAGAAGUACAACCUACCUGGAACAAAGUCCCCUGAAGAAGUAAUGAAGUAUUACAGAAAUAGUGGGAGGCACGGGGUGGAUGAGUCAGUGAAAGACCAGCAACUUCAGUUUGGAGUCAAGGCCCUGAACAUAAUACUGCUCUUCUACUUCCAAAAACUCCUUUGCAGCGCCCUCAGGGGGAUCCACAGAAAGAACUACCUGAGUCGCAUGGAGACUCUGCCACGGGUGCUGCGUUAGACCAGGUCACUAGGACAGCUGCUUAGAACUGCGAUUGGUCACUCGUACGGUGGCCACAGUGGACAAUACUGUGUUGUCUACUGAUGUGUAUACUGUUACUACCAUGGAUCACUAGUACUGUCUUAUUUUUUGAAACAUAAGUAGUUCGUUUAUCCAAGUUGCCUUCAGGUUUCUUGCUUGCUUAUUGGCUUGGGGGGUUCAUAUGCAGUGGAAUUCCGCUGUGUGCAUUAUUAAGACCCUGUUCCGAAUCUCUCCACUCGGCUCCAGUACUUGUGAGUUGUGGAGCUCGGUUUUAGCCACUCCGUAAAAAUCUUUUGACUCCGUAGCAACCGUACUAGUAAAAUAGGCCGCCUCUGUUCUGCAACAUUGCCCUGUACCAUUUGCCUUUUAGACUCUCUCAUGCUACAAGUGAACUUGAUUUGUUCAAACUUUGAGAGACUGUACUUCAUGGAGUAGAUGGAUGACGUACCAACCCUUAGUGAGCUGGUGGCCCUUAGUGGCCUGAUGAGGCCAACCUAAUAGAGCUAUUUCGGCUAGUGCAACAAUAAAGGAAAAAAAAAGGAGAGGAGGUGGGCAAGAAGAAAAUAACUCCUCCUCCAAACCAAUUGAAGGAGGAAACCUUCCUCCUUGGCUCGNNNNNNNNNNNNUACUUGGAGUAGGAGGCAAGGCAGUCACCCCUUGGUUCCUCCUAUAUAUANNNNNNNNNNNNNAGGGUUUUUGCACCUCAAGCCUUUGUGNNNNNNNNNNNNNNNNNNNNNNNNNNNNNNNNNNNNNNNNNNNNNNNNNNNNNNNNNNNNNNNNNNNNNNNNNNNNNNNNNNNNNNNNNNNNNNNNNNNNUUUCGGAAAGCCGUGCCCGCGGUUAUGUGGCAACGUGGAAACUUUGUUUAACACUGGUUCUAGAUAACGUGAAGCUAAUUAAUUAAAAUAUGCCAACUGAGUGCGUAACCAUGACUGUCUCUUUCGUGAGUUCUUUCUCCAAUCGAGGACACGGUGGGGUUAUGUCUGACGUAGGUAGGUGUUCAGGAUCAUUCAUUUGAUCAUCAGUACUCACGUCCGCAAUGAGUAGAUCUUCCCCUCUUAUUUCUUGUACUCGUAAGAUUAGCCACCAAAUAUAUGCUUAGCCGCUGCUGCAACCUCACCACUUAACCAUGCCUCACCCAUUAAGCUUUGCUAGUCUUGAUACCUUUGGAAAUGAGAUUGCUGAGUCCCCUGUGGCUCACAGAUUACUACAACACCAGUUGCAGGUACAGGUAAAGGUUAUUUGACGCGAGCGUGUUGAUUGUUCAUUUGGAGUUGCUUCUUCUUCUUCUUCUUCAUCGAUCUAGGAUGGGUUCCGGGUCGGCAGCCUGGGAUAGCAAGGAUGGGCGUCGUACUUAUUUUUCUCGUUUGUUUUCGUCCGUAGUCGGACCCUGCUCUUACUCUUGAUGAUUAUGUAAUGUACUGAUGUGACUCUGAUGUAGCUUGUGGCGAGUGUAAGCCAAUUCUUUAUAUAUAUCUCUUCUUUUCAGUACAUGUACUUGUAACGAUAUCCGUUCUUGCGACACGACGAGAUGCGCUUCUAUCCCUGACGAGGCCUUCGUGCCAAAUUGAGGAUAGGGUCGCAUCUUGGGCGUGACACUUCACCACAAUGGAUUAUGGCUCCGAGGUGACCUCUAUUGCUCGGGGCAAUCUCCACAACCUAAUUGGAGACCCCGACGCUUGCGCGGAGCUUUACUGUUGGAAAUAUGACCUAGAGGAACUAAUAAAGUGGUUAUUAUUAUAUUUCUUUGUUCAUGAUAAUCGUUAUUAUCCAUGCUAGAAUUGUAUUGAUUGGAAACUCAAAUACACGUGUGGGUACAUAGAUAACACACUCUCCCUAGUGAGCCACUAAUGGACUAGCUCGUUGGUCAAAGAUGGUCAAGGUUUCCUGGCCAUAGACAUGGGUUGUCAUUUGAUAACAGGAUCACAUCAUUAGGAAAAUUAUGUGAUGGACAAGACCCAAACUAUGAAUGUAACAUAUGAUCGUGUCAGUUUAUUGCUAUUGUUUUAUGCAUGUCAACUAUCUGUUCCUAUGAACCAUGAGAUCGUGCAACUCACUGACACCGGAUGAGUACCUUGUGUGUAUCAAACACCGCAAUGUGACUGGAUGACUAUAAAGGUGCUCUACAGGUAUCUCUGAGGGUGUUUGCUGAGUUGGCAUGGAUCAAGACUGAGAUUUGUUACUCCGUGUGACGGAGAGGUAUCUCAAGGCCCACUCGGUAAUACAACAUCACAACAAGCUUGCAAGCAAUGUGACUAAAGAGUUAGCCAUGGGAUCUUGUAUUAUGGAAUAAGUAAAGAGACUUGCUGGUAACGGGAUUGAACUAGGUAUGGAGAUACCGACGGUCGAAUCUCGGGCAAAUAACAUACCGAUGGACAAAGGGAAUAGUAUAUGGGAUUGAUUGAAUCCUUGACAUCGUGGUUCGACCGAUAAAGAUCUCCGUAUAAUAUGUAGGAGAAAAUAUGGGCAUCCAGGUCCCGCUAUUAGUUAUUGACCGGAGAGUGUCUCGGUCAUGUCUGCAUAGUUCUCGAACCCGCAGGGUCUGCACACUUAAGGUUUUGUAACAAUUUGGUAUUAAUGAGUUAUGUGUGAUGGUAACCAAAAGUUGUUCGGAGUCCUAGAUGAUAUCCCUGACGUCACGAGGACUUCCACAAUGGUCCGGAGGUAAAUAUUGAUAUAUAGGAAGUUGUUAUUCGAGGUCCGGAAAAGUUCUGGAACAUGCCGGUUUUGUGACACGAGUGCCGGAAGUGUUUCGGGGAUCCAUCGGGAGGGUCCACCUGCCCUGGAGGGCCCCAUGGGCUACAAGAGGGGGCACACCGUCCCUCCCACCAAGGCCCAUGCGAUAGGAGGUGGGAGCUAAGGGCGUGUUUGGUUUCUCUGCUCACACCUGCAUCGCACGAGGCAUGCAAAAUGUGGUGUGUUUGGUGUCGUGUGCGACCUCCUCGGCCUGGCCCAACUAAUGCAAAAUCGGGCCUCUCAGCUAGGCUGAGAGGAACACAGGAAUCGAGCAUUCCCGCGAUGUAGCCUCGCGCCUGCACCCGCGCUUUCACUUAAAACGAAGCGGUACACGAGAAUGGCCCUAAUGUUAUCCAGAAUUACUUCAAAACUUCCACCACAACUGUAACGACCAAAAUGCGGUCCUUUCCGAUCUGGGGGUCGAGGCCCCGAAUAGGAAAGAAGCGCAUCUAAGCGUUUCGCAAGAAAGUAACAUAGCACAAAUAAUAAUAAAAGUAGACAAUUCGGGAUUCAACUGUCUUCUCAUUAAUAACUCAUAGUACAUCACAGAUACAAUCAAGGUAGUUCCGCUACGGACUACAUAAACAUAGAAAUGCUAUGCUACCCUGCCUGCACGCCCACGAUCACGACCACGCCACAGUCCUCCGGAUAGUUCACGUAGAGGCGGUCUGUCUCCUCGUCGUACUGCCACGCCAGCUGGGUGCCGUCGGGAUCAUCUGUCUCUGGGGUACGUGUACCUGUUGGGAGUUUCGGAGGAAUCCGUGAGCCACGGGGACUCAGCAAUCUAAGACCUUGGUGCCAGAACUAGUCAUGUUAUUAGGUAGGGUAAGGGUGAAGUGUAUAAGGCUGCAGCAUCCUAAGCUUGAUUUAGUGGCUAACUUACGUAAACAGUUAUGAAGGUGGUCUACACUAGCGGUCGUGAUUACUUGAUCACUAAUUGAUCCUGAACACCUACCUACGACAUUCAUAACCCCACCGUGUUCCCGAUCGAAGAGAGAUCUUCGAGGGGACAGUCACGGUUACGCACACCGUUGGCAAUUUUAUUAGCUUAUGUUUAAGUUCUCUAAUACCGGAUGUUAACAAAAUAUUCCAAGUUGCCACAUAACCGCGGGCACGGCUUUCCGAAAGAUUAAACCCUGCAGGGGUGCUCCAACUAGUCCAUCACAAACGAACACAGGCCGCAAAGGCAUCCACUAUCACGAAUCUCGUGAUCUCGUCGGAUUCCUUAGAGGAAAACCUCAACUCUCGGGGAAACCAAAGCCUCACUGGGAUUCCUAUACGCAAGAUAUACCGCUAAGGUAAGACAAGGCUAGCAGGACCUCCCGUCAUGUCGACGACCCUGAUAAGAGUCGUGUAUCUCAGUCUCAGGACACAACGGAUGAGCUAGACGUCGGGAUGGCUAAACCUCUGGGUGACCAGUGGGGCCCCGGACAUCGCUCAGGUGGGACCAACACUCAUGAGGAGCACUGGCCCGGGUUGUUGAUUAAAUUUCUCGGGUAGCUAUUCCCUAUGCAGAUUAUUAUGUGAUUAGCAGAUUAAAACCAAUGUUGGGUCCUGCCGGACAAGCCUUAGCACUACGCGAUUUAUCAAGGGGGUCCCCAUAACAACCCUGAACGUGUUAGGAGCGAUCAUUAUGGAAUCAAACACCGGUAACCGGUAACUAAGGCGGCAAUAACGGAACAAAGCACCCGGCAAAAGGCUAGGCCUCCCGUCAUUUACCAAGUAUAUAGGUGCAUUAAUUAAAUAACAGAAUUUAAGAUAAUGAUAUCAAGCUCAUGUUAUCACAUGAGACAAAGCACGUGCAUCUAGCAACGCUAUCAUUAGUAGCUGAGCAAAGCCUACUUAGCCAUACAAGUUUUGCUAGGAAGGGGGACGGUGUUUGGGCUCAUGGCAUAUCAAGAGGCAAUUUAAUUCAGUGGUAGGCAACGAGCAAUAUGACAUGGAAACGAAACUAGCAUAACAAGUCUAGAGAUGGAAUCAAGGUCAUAUCAUCUUGCCUGUGAUAUCCUCAGCUUGGAAUGUUUCUGGUUUGUCCUGCACAUACUCUCCUGACUCCACGUAUUCGUUCUCCGAUCCCGGUGCUACCCAAAAUAAUAAUAACAACCAAUGAACAGCACCACCACAAGAUGCAACAAUCACAUGAUGCAUGAGAUGAAAAAUGAGCAUGCAUCGCUAUUUCUAUCACUAGCACAAGCAAAAGAAACUACUACAAGUUUCUGGACAGAACUGUACACUAAGCUAUUUUUACAUGCAUGGGGAUGGCAUGAACAGAUGCGGCUCGUGAAAACGAUGCAAAACCAUAUAAAGAACUUUGCAAACGGAGCUACGGAUCAACGGGAAUAUCAACGAAACAAGAUAUGAAGCUCUACAUGGAAGAAUCAACACCACACCCACAAUUGGCACAAAUCUGGUAUUCCCAGGUUGCCAAGACAUAUAACAACCCAACAUGAAUGGAUUGGAGCAAGGGAGAACACCACAACAUCAACUAAGCACACACAAUGAUCAAAAUGACUAUACUACUCAAUCUGCCAUAAUCUGCAUCUUAGCUCUUUGUGAGCUACAUGCAACAUAGCUACAGCCCUCCAAAUAUGACAAAUAAUAUAUGUGGCUGUAUACAACCAAGAACACUACAAGCACUAGCAAGAAUCACACCAAAAGGAAUUCAACUCUAGAAGAUACAAGGCCACAAACUUUCACAAAACCCUCAGAUCUCAGGGACUUAGUGAAAAUCCCUGCACCUGACUUUCUGUCUUUGUUCUGAAGCUUUUUUACAGCAAUCAAAACACAACCUACUGGACUCCAAAUGAGAUGAAAUUUGACAGGGAGCUUCACAAACAUAUCAGGUCCAAAAUCUUAGCACUGAAAUAAGGCUAGUUCCCAACACAAUGACCAGCACAACCUCAUCUAUAGGAGAAGAAAAUGUUUCCAGAUUCUCAGACUUAGUGAAAUUCCAGAUUUCACUAAGCUGGACUUUUUCAGCCACAUGCCCACUUUAUCUAGGCAUAGUUUGCACACAAAUAACACCAAGUGAUAAAUGACACCACUAUGGUGUAGAGCAAAACCCCUACUAUUACCACACGAAAACUCAUGCCCUUGGGCUCCACCUAUUCCAUGGAAUCAAAGAGCAAACUUGCAACAAAUCUGAAUAUGUCAACUCCAUAAAGUAUCCCAAUGGAAAAACUAACUUCACCACUGGAUUCCUUGGGAGAUUCUAUCCCAAAAUCAUAUAUAAUAUGUGGGAACUUACUUGGAACAAGUGACCACAAAUUAAGGGAGAGGAAACUACUCCAAAUCAUGCCUAGUGAAUAGGGCAUCAUUUCAUGUAGUUCCACUAUAACAACAACUACAAAGGUUGAGCUCAUGUGCACAAUGACAAAGUGACAUGGGGGUUUGAACCCCAUGUUUUUGUCAUGCCCAUCAACCCACAAGCACAUCUACCAAGUAGAUCACACACACAAUAGUCACUAUGCCCUCUCCAUAUGGAAAUGUGAAGGUGCAAGAAUGAUUUGCAAAGGUGGGGUUGAUCCUCACUAACACAUCAACUCCACAACACCCACUACACAUGCUCUUGAACCACACACAAAAUUGCAAGGCAUCUAGUAAGCCACACAUCAUGGAAGUACCAACACCUACACAUACAUAUGAACAACUAUAUGGUGCCACAUGAGCCAAGCCCAUGUAUGAGUGGAAAUCACAUAUACACACCACAACCAACAAGCACAACCACAUGUAUAUUACCUCACAUAUGCACACACUAGUGCACCUACAAGCAUGCACUAAGCUAGCACCACCACCACACAUACACUUCACCAAGUGCUCACAUACACACACAACCAACACUCUAGAGCACACACACUAGUGCAUUUGCAGGAAGGAACAACAUUAAAUGCUAUUUUCUUUAUGCCUAUUGUUUAGGCACAAGGAAUAGCAGAAAUUAUAGCAAGAAAAACAAAUAGGAUAUAAAGCAAAAAUAAAAGAGGCAAGCCUGGGAUUCGAACCCACAGCCUCCUGAUUGCUGGCCUGCGGUGCAACCACUCUGCUAUUGUCAUGAUUUUGACAAAGAGAGGGGCACAUAGCAAGUCGACCCUCUUGCUGCUACUACUACUAACGAACAGGGAAAUAAAACCCAAAAAGGGGCGGUGCACCACCGGGGACUCGAACCCUGCACCUUUCGAUGACCAACAGGAGUCACUACCACUGCGCUACUGCAUCGACAUCUGACAUCGGAAGGUGCACAAACAAGGUAUACUACUAACAGAGGAAGGGGCGCACCGGCGUCUGGGAGUCCGACGGAACUGUCUCGCCGUUGCUGCUACUACUACUNCGCUCUUCCGAUCUAGGGACGCGGGAUUGGGCUAGCGCACAGGACAGGGGGAAGAUGGGCCUCUCUGGGUGGGAGGAAGCCCACCAGAGCGACACAUAAGAGAAAAAGUAAACUCUGGAUAUUUCCUAUUUAACUAAAGCACACGCCCACAUGGCAAACCUUUGUAGAUAAAAACAAAACAAAAAUGCCCCUGGACCCGAAAAUAAAUACCCCGUUUAAAUAAAAUACUAAAGGAGUUUUUAGGGCAAACUAAAUAAAUACAAAACAGCAUUAAAGUUUCUGUUUUGUGUUUAUUUUGCACCCUUUAGAACAUUUUUUCAAAAUAGCAAAUAUAGCACCCCAAUAUACCCACAUUAUUUCCUAAACAAAAGACAUUUUUAAAUCAGCUUAGGAGCAAGUGGAAUUUGAACUUGAGAAUUAAAGAGAGAAAGGUUUGAAACUAACAAGGGGGUUCAAAAAACAAUGCCAAACACCACACUCCACUAUAUCACCCCUCAACUUCACUUACGCAUCAACACAUGUAAUCACAAGGUCACAUCCAUCCCAAGACCACAAACACCACAUGGAAACACAUGACCACUUUGCAACAACAAGAACACAUGGCAUGAAACACAUUAUGUUAUGCAUGCAUGCAAGGGACACAACAAAAUAAGAGACACAUGAGAUCAUGGGACAAAAUGACAACAUUAUAUCCAUGACAAGGUGGACCCACUUGCAAUAGGUUCCAAAUAAGGCAAGGUUACAUAUGGGGCACUACAACAACUCUCUUUCCUUUCCUCACAGAUUGGAUCGAGGACACAAAAUCAAUCGCAGCUGCCGCUGUAUGGAGCUCCUUCUUGUGUCACCGGCGAGAGCUACUACGCAUGCAACUAGUUAGAGCUCCCUGGUCCAUCUAAUCCUGCCAUCCUAGCUCGCUCUUUCACCAUCUGUUCGAGCUAUAUCAUCCGCCGCGGCCCCGCCGCUGAACGUCCAUGCUCCUCCGCUCGUCGGUGUCUCGAUGUGUGUGCUUGUAGGAACUGCAUCGGAGGGGUGGCACAUCUGUACUAGCUCGGCCCAACCGUCCGUGGUUGUGGCGGUGCCAUGGGGCCAUGGUGGUGCAGUAGCUCACCAUUUUCUCAUACUGACUUCCAAACACCAUCUCACAUGGGCCUGUCCAACAACAUGCACACAACCAUACAUACAUCUCUAUCCAUUUUUUUUGCAUCAGGUUAGCCAGGCUAGACUUGCCCAAGAUGGUGGAUACCAUGCAACGUAAGGCCAUGCAUCAAACCAAACACGCCCUAAGCCCACAAAGGGGUCGGACACCCUUGCCUUGGGUGGCAAGGCACCCUAGGGGCCGCCGCGCCCCACCCCUUGGUCGCCCGCCAAAGGGGGGAACCCUAGGUCGAGCCGCACCCUCCUCUCCUCCUAUAUAUAUAUGAGUGGGGAGGGAGGGCUGCAACACACGCCACGACAUAGCCUCUCCCUCUCCCUCUAGAUCGUCUCCUCCUCUAGAUUUUUCCGAUAGUGUUUGGCGAAGCCAUGCCGGGACAGCUACUCCACCACCAUCGUCACGCCAUCGCACUGUCGGGGAACUCAUCUACCACUCUUCCCUAGCUUGCUAGAUCGAGGAGGCGAGACGUCAUCAAGAUGUAUGUGUGUUGAACGCGAAGGUGACGUCCGUUCGGCACUCGAUCGGGAGUUCAUGGGACGGAUCGUGAUUGGAUCGCGAAGAUGUACUAUUACAUCAAUCACGUUCUUUAACACUUCCGCUUAGCGAUCUACAAGGGUAUGUAGAUACAAUUUAUCCUCUCGCAGAUGUGCAUCUCCUAGAUUGAUCUUGGUGAGCGUAGGAAUUUUUUGUGUUCCCCAUGCAAUGUUCCCCAACAUUUACACCAUAGUGAUUGAGCUCCGAGGCACCACCAACUGUCUAGGGCGCCAAUGCACCAAAGAGGCACCAGCUCUAGGGUUCCCAGACACCCAAGAGUAAUAAGCUUAUCAAACUUCACUUCCAUGUAUCACCAUGGAGAACUCAAACCUAUGCACCAAAUACAAUGGCAAGGGCACACAGAGUGCCCAAGUCCUUCUCUCCCAAAUCCCACCACAACAACUAAUGCUAUGGAAGAAAAUGAGAGAAAGAACAACGAAGAACACCAAGAACUCCAAGAUCUAGAUCCAAGGGGUUCCUCUCACGAAAAGGAGAAAGUGGUUGGCGGGGAUGUGGAUCUAGAUCUCCUCUCUAUUUUCCCUUAAGAACUAGGAAGAAUCAUUGGAGGGAUUGAGAGUUAGCAAGCUCUAAGAAGGUCAACAAUGAGGGUCAAAAAUGAGCUCAAAGGAUUAGGGACCAAUGGGGAAGAAGACCCCCUUUUAUAGGUCCCCGCGAAUCUGUCUGUUAUGUGUAGAAUAACAUAGGAGCGUUACAACCGCUAUAUGUACCAGUACAGCCAGAAAACACGGGUACCCUGCAGAAACCGUAUCGAGCAGUACCACCGGUGGCGCGGGCGAUAGUACCAGUUGAAACGAGUAACCAGAACACCCGCACCACCACCACUCAAAAACCGCAUCAAAAAAGAGAUGUGUCCGGUGGUAGGGCGGUAUUGAGCCGGUACAACCGUCUGAAGCUACUCUCGAGGGAAGGCCAGAUCAAGUGAUACAACUGUCCAGAGGCAGCGGUACAACCGUUGGCAUGAACCUAAGAGCGGCAACCCCAAGGUAUCACCCCUGGGGCGGUAGUUGCACCGGACGUACCGUCCAAGCGAUACAACUGCUCGGACAAGCGGUACAACUGUAUCAAGAAAACAGGAAGGACCAGAACUGCCAUAACUUUUGCAAAUGAGCUUCGAAUUGAGCAAACUCAAGCUUGUUGGAUUCAGAUGACAAGAGCUAUCCAACUAUCUUAAGAAGAGGCAGUAUGAAAAUGCCAAUGAUUGAGAUGUAAAACCUCUAUGGAUGAAGAACCGGCAAAAUCUCCAACAUGAAAAACAUCAUAGAAGAUGCAUAUGGACUCCGUUUUCGAUGAACUCGAGCUUGUCAUGAGGAUGACCAUAAGUUCUACAACUCACAAAGAGAACCACCAAACAAGAACCAAGAAAGAUGAUGCAAGGAUGCAAAUGGUUUGAGCUCUCAACGAACGAUACGAUCAAGCUACUCACUUGAGAGCCCCCCUUGAUAGUACGACAAUCGAUCCUAUAACCCGGUCUCCCAACUACUACCAUGAGACCGGUAAAGUAGAAAACCUAUCAAGGGCAAACCUAUACCUUGCA